UUUUUUUUUUUUUUUUUUUUUUUUUUUUGUAUUUUGGAUAACAAAUACAUAUUUAGUUAUGUACACAGUUUUUUUAGUUUAUGAAGGAUAUAGUGAUGUUGAUGUUUGUCAUUCUUAUCCCUAGGAUUCGUAAAAAAAUGGUGCUAAUUUUUGUGCCAUAUACUUCUUUCUUUUUUGGUUAACCUUUUAUUUGUCAUUCUUGUCUUGCAUAAAUUAGAUAACAGUUUCUUUACAUUUUUGGAUAUCAUCGAUUAGUUAGGAGACAAUUUAGAUAACAAUUUCCGUUGCAUGAAAAGGUUAUUAAGUAGAAAAGUUCAGAACUAUAAGCAUCAACAUUUUAUUGUAGGAACUAGGAAAUUCAUAAAGUAUUUAUGUUUUUGUAAAUCAUGAAAGUAUAUAGGAUAUAUUAUUUAAUACGUAUUAAAAUUAGUUCAAAUUCUCUUAAUUUAUACUCUUGUCUCGGGUUCUUUGUCUUGGGAGACGGAACUUGACAAGCAUUUCAAAAGUCAUACAAAAUGUAUAAAAAGAUACAUUUUUUUAAAAAAUAAGGACUUAUUUUUUAAAAUAAGUGAUUGCCAAAACACCUCCAAAGUUCGGCGAGAAAAGCGAAAGAGAGUCUGAGUUCAACAGCACUGUACAAGUUUGAACGCGGAUGAAUAAAACAUGAGCAAUAACAACAACAGAAACAAGAGCUCAAGUAGGUAGGGGUAGGUAGGGGUGUAAAUGAGCCGAACCGAGCCGAACUAGGUAGGGGUGUAAAUGAUCCGAACCGAGCCGAACUCCAGAGUGCUCGUGUAUCGUUUGUUAAAAAAUUAGCGAACUCGAGCUCGAGCUCGAGCUCGAGCUUGGAUCGAGCCAAAAAUACUGUUUGAGUAUCGACUCAUUAAGGAAUAACUCUGUUCACGAACGGUUCGUGAACAUGUCUCACGAGUUUUUGCUCACGAACCGCUCUUUAACUUACGCUCACGAACAUGUCUCACAAAUUUUUGCUCACCAGCCGCUCAUUAAUUUUGUUCGCAAGCUUGUUUAAUAAAUUUUGCUAACGAGCUAGCUUAUUCUCAUAAAUUUAUUUACGAGCUUGUUUGUUAUUUAAUUUAAUUAAAAAAAAUAAAUUAAAAUUCUAACAAUAAUUUAAUUUAUGCUCUAAGGAAUCAUAAAUUCAUAAUAAAUCAUCCAUUAAUAAAACUUCCACAUCCACGAGCCAUGUUCACGAGCCAAGUUCACGAAUCAUGUUCACGAACUCAUAAUUCGAACUUGUUCGUGAACUAUCGAGUCGAACUCUAUUGUGCUCAAGUUCAGCUCGUUUAUAAAACGAACAUUAAAAUUGUGUGAACUAUCGAGUCGAACUCUAUUGUGCUCAAGUUCAGCUCGUUUAUAAAACGAACAUUAAAAUUGUGCUCAAGAUCGACUCGUUUAUGAAUCGAACCGAGAUCGAUCCGAGCUUUUUCCGAACCGAACAUCGAGUGGUUAUCGAGCGUAUUAACUCAUUUACAGUUCUACAAGUAGGUGAAGAUUACUAAAACUUCCUGUAUUUAGGUAUAAUGAAAUAUAGGCCAAAUGUGGCAUCCACAACAUACUCGCAUAGGAGAGAGAGCUUAUAUGGAAACAGUUUAGUUGGCGAUGAUAGCAGUUAACUUGUAAAAUCAUGUUCAUCUUGUAAGGCACUACCAAGUUGGUCCAUUUGUACAUGCACCAGCUCUUCCAUCUGGCUGAGUUUAACUAGUUAUUAUUAACAGCUUCUGCACCAAUCUCAGAUUUCUUUUAUUUAUAGCUGCCAUGAUUUUCUUGGUUCUUGCCAUCUCGCUGAUUUUUGUGAGCUUGAAAUCUCUCUACUCGAUUAUAUGGGUUCCAUGGAGAAUUCAACACUUCUUCAGAAAACAAGGUGUAAACGGCCCCAGCUACUGUCCAUUUUAUGGGAACACAGCAGAGAUCAUGCAAAUGACUAAGGAAGCUCAAUCAAAAUCCAUUCCUUUCACUCAUGAUAUUGUGCACCGUGUGUGCCCGGAUUAUUACCAGUGGUCUGCCAAGUAUGGCAGGACUUUCUUGUGCUGGUUCGGGCUAAAGCCAAGACUGGCUUUGGCAGAUCCAGAUAUGAUUAAAGACGUCUUGUCCAAUUCUAUCGAUAUGAUUGAUAGGCUUGACUUCAAUCCCUUGGCUAGGCUGCUCUUUGGCCAGGGACUUCCUGGCUUGACGAGUCACAAAUGGACUGCUCAUCGAAGGAUAGCAACCCCUGCAUUCAAUAUAGAACAAGUGAAGGUUUGAGUUAAACUGGUUACCCUAGAUACAGACAGAUAUAUGGUUUUCAUUUGUUGUAUUUGUACUUUAUAUCUCAUAGUCAUAGGGGGUACAUCAUAAAAGUUUAUGUGUACCUACUUUUUUAUAUAGCAUUUUGGUGUUAAACAGGCUUGGGUGCCAGAGAUGGUGGCUAGUGUUUCAAAAAUGCUGGAGAUUUGGGAAGAUAAAGGAGAAGAGAAGGAUGAAGUGGAGAUUGAAGUUUACAAAGAAUUUCUUGACUUGUCAGCUGAGAUUUUAUCAAAAACAGUUUUUGGGAGUAGUUUUGAAGAGGGGAAGCACAUAUUUGAGUUGCAAGAACAGCAAGUGACCCUUACAAUGCGGGCUUUGCACACUGUCUAUAUUCCUGGAUUCAGGUGAUUUAGUAUUCAGGAAAAGUUGUUUAUUUUCUUAUAGUCUAUAUGUUGGAAUUUCUACUUAUCUUGAAUGUUGUAAUUACUCAUGACUGUUGAAUUCAAUAUAUUCUAAUGCCUGGACAUUACCAAAUCAAAUUGCAUUCAGGUUCUUGCCUACUAAAAUGAACAAAUUGAGGUGGAAAUUAGAGAAGGAAACUCGAGAUGCAAUCAGGGUGAUUAUUGAGAGAAAUAGCAAAACAACUGACAAUUCAAAUAAUCUAAUAAGCCUAUUAAUGUCUGGUAGUAGUCACACGAAAGAACUUGGACCUGGGUUGGAGAUUGAGGAGGUCAUUGAUGAGUGCAAGACAUUCUAUUUUGCUGGAAAAGAAUCAACAGCGAAUGCUGUUACUUGGGCAGUGCUCCUUUUAGCACAACAUCAGGAAUGGCAAAGCAAAGCCCGCAGGGAAGUUUUUCAAGUGUGCAGAGGCAAUGAACUUCCAGCUGCAGAUAAAAUGCACGAGUUCAAGAUAGUAAGUUGAUUCAUUACUAGUAGUCUCUGUGGCUUUUGAGUCUCAAUAAAUCAUUAGUAAUUGACAUGACAAGCUGCAAUUCAGUUUUCCAGUUUAAUUUUAAGUACAAUAGUGAAACAAGUUCAAAAUGUCCUUAGUUUAGUUCAGUACUGGAAGUCUGGAAAUCUGGAAUCCGUUGUAGCUGGAUGCAUCUUUGUGUGUGCUAGUAACAUCGUUUAUAGUAAACUGUGUUGCUAGCAACUUCCAUCCAUAGAGUUCUUCCAAGUAAAAUAAACUCUAUAUUUAUAUGUUGUUUCUGAUGUUGACACUUGACAGGUUAGUAUGAUACUGAAAGAAACACUUAGACUCUACAAUCCAGUGAGUCGUUUAUUGAGACGGAGCUUAAAGAAUGUUAAGAUUGGCAGCUUAAACGUCCCAGCUGGAACAGAAUUCUACUUGGCUCUAGCAGAUGUCCAUCAUGAAACAGAGAUAUGGGGACCAGAUGCCAACGAGUUCAAUCCUUCUAGGUUUGCCGAACCUCCAAAGCAUUUGGGCUCAUACUUACCAUUUGGCCUGGGAUCCAAAAAUUGUAUAGGUCGAAAUUUGGCAUUGGUUGAGGCUAAAAUCAUCCUAGCUAUGAUCAUUAAGAAGUUUUCCUUUGUGGUUUCACCAUCAUAUGUUCAUGCUCCAGCAAUGUCGUUCACAUUGCAGCCUCAGUAUGGUGCUCAUAUCCUUGUUAGGAGGAUCGGUGAUUAGUAACUAAUGAUUAUGUCCCGAACAUAAAUCAUAAAUGUAUACAUAAGCAAUCUAUGUCAUCUUAAACCUUUUAGUUUCUCAUAACUUUUCUAAAAUUAUAUAGAAUAAAAAGGGUAUAUUUGAAAUUAGUCAUAAAAGAAAGGGUAUAUUUGACUAUUUUGAUAUCGGCUAAGUCAUUAUUCUCAGAAAUCACCUGUUAAGGACUUGAUGCUGCAAUCAUCUUGCAUUGUGGAGAAAACAUAAACUGUAUACAAACAUAAAGUAAACCAUUUUGUACUGCAGAUUUGCGGUACUUGUUUCCUCGCAGGUCCAGAUCGAAAUGAAUUAACUUAAUUUAAUAAGAAAAUUUUAAUGUUCUUGCUGUUACUAGAAUAAUUGAAAGCUAAUGGUGCAAGGUUUUUAUUGACAAAUCAUUACCUUAGUCAACAGAUAUGGGGAGUUUUCUGUUAGCUAAAUCCUUAAUACUUACUCCCGAGGUCCGAACACAUGAAGGUUUUGAAUAAAUACGAAAUUUUGAAUGAUGGAAAGUGUUAAAUUUAUUUGAAAAUGUAGGAAAGUUAGGCAGCUAGUCUAUGACGUUGUUGAACAUUUCUUUGCAUGUUUUCUAUUUUUUGAUUAUUUAUUUUUUCAAAAAUGUUUAUAGAAACUAGACAUAUACUUUUAAAGGAUAAUUUUACGUCCCAAAAAUUUCUCAAUUUUUUUUACCAAAUGAUGGGCAGACAAGUGAAAUAAUAUUAUGACGGCGUGAUUGAUGUAUGUACAAGGGCUCUCAUUAUUAUUGGAGUGAAUGGAGCCAAGCAAACUUCGACACAUUAUAUGAGAAAUUCUUCUUCAAAAACUGCUGUUUAUAAAGACAAAAGGCAAAUAUUUAGUAAUAAAACCAAACAUGGGCUGAGUAAUUACUCCCUCGAGUCAACUCAAUUCUAUACCGUUUACUUUUUAGGAUGAUCUGUAAAAAUUUCUACUACACCCAUUUUAUACAUUAUAUAUUAUUUGAUCCCACCGAUUUAACCAUAUUACACCCACUUAAUACAUUAAAUAUGAAUUGUUCCCACGAUUUUACCUAUUUUUGUUACUCUUUUUUCAUUAAAUUACAUUUUUUUUUAACCUCGUGUCACACCCCAUGCGUAUACUACUCGAUGGGACAUGGGACGGAGGAGCAACAAACUCAAGGGAAGAGAAAAAGUGUGAAUCUAUAUAUAUUCUAGGUAACAAAUUCAUCAUGUGCAGCAAGUAAUAGUUAAGCAGCAGAUCACAGUAAGAUCUAUAGCAAUUAGAAUGCCUGCGAUUUCAUCAUUCCAGAAUAGCAUUUUUCACGAGGAGAAUAAGCAAUUUUUUGAAUACGCAGAGCAAUAAGCAUUUUGUUGAAUACGCAGCUCAAUAAGCAAGCACAGAUACAUUGAGAAGAUGGACAGGCGUUUAGUCAUAUGAAUUAUUGCAAGCUGAAGAUCCCCAAGUUUAAAGAGAAUGAAAUCUUCACCUAAAAAUGAUUGAGAUGUACUAGCCUAAGUUUUUGUCAUGUUUCAACUGGAAUUCACAGCCUCAAAUAUAUAGCAUAUUCAGAGUUAAUCAAGAUUUCGGCUGCAUUAUGUGGAAGGAGGACCACAUAUACUAUAAUUAUUUUAAAUUAUCAGUAGACUGUGAUGAAGGAAACUUCCUAGAAAUUGCAUGCGUACGUAGCUAGGUUUAAUUAGUUUGGCUUCAAACAUGCUGUGGGGCAAACAUGUAUGGCGCUAAUUCGUCUAUUGCUUGCUAGUACAUAGGCGUAGAUGGGGAUAUAUCUAUACACGGGUUACAAAUUUACAAUACUGGCAUGGGGAUUUCUUGGAUUUCGAGUGAGACGGAGAGAGUGCAAGGAAUGCUCUAGCUUCAUUGUAAUUAACCCCUUCGAUUCUGGAGUGUAGUAGUCAUAGGAAUGGAUAGAAACAUGGUCCAGUGCUCUAGCUUUUCUUGUAGUGAAUAUUCGGUUUCGAAUGGUAAUGUUAGUGCAGAUUAAUUACAUGGAACUACUGAUUAUUGAGUUUUGUUGCAUGUUACAAUCAAUUGAAUAGAAGCUGUGUUGCUUCAGAAAUAUGAAUUCUAUCAUGAUAAUAAAUCUGAUGGAUAUGUUAGAAAACCUUUCGCAUCAGUAACCACCUUGUGGUGUUGUGUUGAAGUUAAAAACCUCAGGUAGGCUUGUUUCAUGCAAUUGUUUAGAAAUCGGCAAGUGCUUGUUUGGUUUUAUAUCGGAAAUUAAUGAUUUUUCAUGGGACGAUCAAAUUCUAGUAAAUACAUAACGACGACGACCAACUAAUUAACUUAUAAGCUAAAAAAUAUAUGAUUGUGUUUGGUUGAGCUUAAAAGUGAUUGUGCUUGGCUGAGUUUAAAAGUCCAACUUCUGAGCUUAUAAGAGCCAGAAAAAACUCAUUCAUAUCUUUGUUUAAAGGUUUUAUAAGUCAAUUUCUGACUUAUAAUAAGUAGACAUGCUCAAAUUUGUUGUAGUGAUCAUCCUUUUAUUUGAUUUUAAAGAAAAAAUUAUAUGAAAAAAUAUCCUAAAUGAACUAAAGAUGACAAAAUCUUACUCGUCACUAAAUUAUUGUAAAUAUCUAAACAUACAUGUAACCAGAACUAAACUAAAAAUAUCCCUGUUAAACCCUACUGCAUCCUAUAUCAUCACACAAAAAAUUAAAUGUGCAUAGAGUGUAGUGAUCCAAUCAAUGGUGUACGCGAGGAACAAGUAGCAGUAUCAGUGUUAACAGAAGAAGCGAGGAGCACUUGGAUUAAAUGUAUAGAGGCCACAUAUGCACAUGCAUUUGAAGAGUCCCUUGGAUUUAGAAUUACAUAAUUCGAAUGACACCAUACGAAACCAAAACUUAUCUGUUAAUACCAGACUCGACUGCAUCUUGGAAACUUCCCCCCACUUUCGUUUUUUUGGCUUCAUCAAACUACAUAAUUCUUACAAGAUCUUUUCCGAUUUCCGGAAAUGUCCUUUUCUUAUUUAAAUUAUUUUCAAGUUGUUUUAGAGGAGGGAAAAAAUAAAGAGAAAUAUGAUUAAUUUAUUAUAAGAAAAAUGUUAUAGCAUUGUUCAAAAGAAAAAUAUAACCAUACUGGUAUUCGUGUAAUUGAUAAUUUUUCAAAGAGUAGGGCUAGAUACACAAAAUUAUGUACAUAAUGACAUGGCAAUUAAUAUGAAAUGCUUAAACUGGGGUUGUUGAUGUAAAUACAGCAGACCCAUUCCAAUUAAAACGCAUCACGUGUCAUUAUGUACAAAAUUUUGUACACAAUUAUGUGCACCAAGCACUUUUCUUUUUCAAAAUAAUAUUAUGGACAUAUACCACAAAUUGAAAUUCGCUCAUGUAUAAUGUCAUGAGUCAAUUUUCAAAAGAUAUUUUUGAAUUAUGUAACAUUACUCUUAUUUUUAAAAAUAUUUCUAAAUAAAAUAAGACCAAAAAAGAUAUAAAACAUAUGAGUAAAUUUUCCUAAAUUAUAUCCGUUCCAGGAAUAGGAAGAUUGAGAGCAAACGGCUAGUGGUAGAUAAUCACAAGGAUAGUUUCAAUAUCCUUCAGGUAAGAAACUCUGUAAGCGAAUGUUUACGUGUGAAAUAUAUAUUAAACUUGCUUAUAAUCUCGUGGCCCUUCCAUUAAAGUUUUGCUUUCUAUUAUGUUGUUUUCAUAUAAUCAAUACCAUGUACACUGGAAAAUAACCCAUAACUACGUAUGUUUAUGAGACGGACAUGUAGAAUUUCAUUUUUGUUUAUACCUAUAUAAUGUAAUCAAUCACACCGGUUUCUAUGGGUUCCAGAUAUCAUAUUUACCACCGGUUGACUGUUCGCUUUAAUGUGAUAGAUAGUAGUAAAAUCGUAUGUCGAAAUUUUACUAGAAUGCUAAUUAAUUAAUUAAUUAACUUAUCAUAAUCUUGAAUUUCGUUGUUAAUUGUAAUUUAUAAAUGCCCCAUCUUUAUAAUUAGAUCAGUGCUACCAGCAUGCUGUAUACAAUAAACUUCUUUCGUGGAGUAAUAUGAUUGAAAUUCGAUAUCAUUCUUGUAAAAAAUUUAUGUGAUCCCCGGCAUAUAUAGCUGCCAAGAGUUGGAGGAACUAUUCUUAAAGCACAGUACACAUACCGUACACACAAUCCUGUUGUCCAUUAAGUCAUUUUCGUUGUGUGGUAACAAGCAAAAGGAGAAACCAGACUCAAAUUAAUCUUUGCAAAUCAAGGAAUCAUAUCAUUUCGUUAAGCGGUAGCAAUGUAGCACCUUCCCCGUCUCUGGUUUCUGGCUUGUUUGGUUUAUAUGAUUGAUUAUUAAAUUAAUCAAAUUUGCCUGUAACUUCUGGCAAAAAAAAAAAAAAAAAAUUUGCCUGUAACUUCUGGCAAAAAAAAAAAAAAAAAAAUUUGCCUGUAACAUGUAUAUAUCUUACUUCUUUAUAAUUUAAAAAACCUGAAAAUUAGAUUUUAAAAUUAAUACAUUUCUUUCCUAAUAAAAGAAAUUUAUUAAUUCUUUAAUUAUACAAGUAUUCUACAAUUUAUUAUUAAUCUCUGACCAAUUUAUUAUAGGGUUAAUUAUCUAAUUGGACACUCACUCCACACCAAUAUAUCAUACGGGCACUCUCGAAUUUUCAGUCGCAUUUGAAACACCGCUUUUAGAAAUUAUAUCAUUUUUAAAAAUAAAGUGGUAAAUUCGAAAACAAGUCGACAGUUUAAGAAGUGUUGCUCAUAUGGCUUUAACACAGUAGGUCAUAGAAAUUAUGUAGGUACACUUAAUUGAAUUUCCGCGUUCAACAAAUGGGUAAAAUUGAUGGCGGAAGAGAUGGGUUAUAAAGAACCCUAAUAAUCCAUAUAUAUAUAGCCAUUUUUUGGACGUAGAAAUUCAAUUAAUCGUACCUACGUAAUCUCUAUCCUACUGUGUUAGAUCUCCAUGAGUAACACUUCUCAAACUGUCAAUUUGUUUUUGAAUUUAACUUUUUACUUUAAAAACUGAUACAAUUUCUGAAAAUAGUGUUUUAAAUGAUACAGAAAAUUCGAAAGUGCCCGGAUGAUACAUUGGUGUGAGGUGAGUGUCCAAUCAUAUAAUUAACCCAUAUAUUAUAAUAAAAUUUGAAAUAAGCUAAAUAAUUAUUCUCAGACGGAGGAUAUAUAUAACAUCCUUUCUUCUCAUCAAUCAGCAUGGUACAGUGACAAACAGACAUCACAUAACUGAACCUUCCUAGAAUUUUCCGGACUUGCUUGCAGAUGCUCUCUAUAAAUAUAGCUGAAACGAUUAUAAACACCCACGCCGCAAUUAUCUUCCCUCCCAUGUGUCCAAAACACAUGCACAUUCCCACAAUAUAUACAAAAUAUUUACAUAUAAUUAUUUAUUUGUGGUGAUUACACCAUCAAAAUGGCAACAAUUACCACCAGGGAGCCAUGGCUCAUGGAGAACGGAACUGUCAAGGGUUUGACAAAGGAGAGGCAUGGCAAAACUCUUCACAACAUGUCUUCUUCUUCCCUUCGCAAAAAGUCCGAUAUGACCCUCGUGUCCAAAGUCCCCAUUAGUUGUCUCAGGCUCUUUUUAGCUAAUCUUCAGGAGGUUAUUCUGGGAACUAAGCUUUCCAUCCUCUUCCCAGCUAUUCCUCUUGCCAUUAUAGCUCAUUAUUGUAAUUUUGGAAAAGUAAGUUUAUUCAUUUUCUUCAAAUUUUUAAUACCCGCUUUUAGACGGUCGAAAAUAGUCGUUUUUCUACUCUCAUGAUACUUAAAGGUCGGGAGAGUUAAAAAUUCGUUUAAUAUUCCGUCCAUGUAAUUAAAAUAAUUCGAAAUGGCUUUGUUUUCGACAGCCGUGGGUUUUUGCUUUCAGCUUAAUUGGCCUCACUCCGCUUGCCGAGCGAAUCAGUUUCCUGACUGAGUAAGAAACUAUACAAAUACAAAAUUUUGACAGUACACAAAAAUAUUCUUAAAAUUAAUUGAUCGAGUUAAUUUUUUUCCCCAUGCAGACAAAUUACGUUCUAUACUGGGCCUACAGGUACUCAUCUUUGUUUUAAUGAUUAUACUAAUGGUUAAUUACACGGGAUCAAUUAAACAUCUACUAUGAUCUCCAUUUAUACUAAUUACUGAACGCAUAUUGCAGUGGGAGGGCUUUUGAAUGCAACAUGUGGAAACGCGACAGAGCUUAUAAUAGCACUGUUUGCUCUGUGGCAACGCAAAGUAGAUGUUGUCAAGUUUUCGCUUUUAGGAUCCAUUCUUUCGAACCUGCUUUUGGUUCUCGGUACCUCUCUUUUCUGCGGUGGCCUGGCCAAUCUGCACAGUGAGCAAAAAUACGACAGGGUAUAUAAUUAGGCUUCAUUUUUUUUUCUUGAAAAUUUUAGAAAUUUUAUUGUAUAUAAAUCGAACUGAUGAUAUAUGUGAAUUCGGCAGAAACAAGCGGAUAUCAACACUGUACUUCUGUUACUGUCAUUGUUAUGCCACAUUCUGCCACUAAUGUUCCGUUAUGCGGGUGAUGACACGGCUUAUAGUCCAAAUGACACGCUUCAGCUGUCGAGAGUUAGCUGCAUAAUUAUGUUGGUGGCAUACGUUGCUUACCUGGUUUUCCAGUUGUGGACUCACCGCGAAUUUUUUGAAGCCCAAGAGGUACUCUUCUCUUCCCUUGUUGUGCAUGUGUCGUUUGAGUCUAGCUGGUAUCUUGGAAUUUGAUUGCAUCAGUACUUAAUUUAAUUUUUUUGACAGGAAGAAGAUGAUGAUUUGGUUUCCGAAGAAGCACCUGUUCUUGGAUUCUGGAGUGCAUUUAUUUGGCUGGCUGGGAUGACUGUUGUGAUAGCCGUGUUAUCUGAGUACGUUGUUGGCACUAUUGAGGUAGCUCAAACUUCUAAUACUACCAUAUGCUUUUAAAUUUCCCUUCAUUAAUCUGCAAUCCGAGAUUCAGAUAUGAAAACUUUUGUUGAUUUGGAUUAUGAGAACUUGUGUUCAUUAUGUCAACAGGAAGCAUCAGCAUCUUGGGGGAUUUCAGUAAGCUUCAUCAGCAUCAUUCUAUUACCAAUAGUCGGAAAUGCAGCUGAACAUGCUGGAGCUGUCAUUUUUGCUUUUAAGAACAAGUUGGAUAUUACUUUGGGUGUUGCUCUUGGUUCUGCUACUCAGAUUGCCUUGUUUGUGGUAAGUCAUGCUAAUCCUACUCAAGUGACUCUAUUUGUACAUGAAUGUUAAUGUAUCAUAUUUAAAUGAAACUGAAUGUUAUUGCUUGUUUAAUGAUCUGCAGGUUCCAGUGAGUGUAGUUUUCGCUUGGGUGCUGGAUAUAAACAUGAAUCUUGAUUUCAAUCUUCUCGAGACCGGUUCCCUUGCUCUCUCAGUUUUAGUCACCGCAUUCACUCUACAGGUAUACACUGCACUCCUCGUAAAUCUAUUAGAUUCGAAUUAGACUAAUAACAUUGUAUCUCCGCAAAAUUUAAUUAUCUCAUUUGUGAUUGUGUUGGAUCUCAGGAUGGCACUUCUCACUACAUGAAAGGAGUUGUGCUUCUAUUGUGCUAUGUCGUCAUUUCUGCAUGCUUUUUCGUAUCAAACGGUUCAACAAGUAAGCAUAUCUAUAUCAGUUAAGGACUUAAGGUUUCAUAGGAACAAAUAGUUGUGGAACUUUCAUAGUACAAAUAUCUUGUAAUUUAAGUUGAACUUUAUCAUUAUGCUUUCAAGUUCUUUAUUAUUUGCAUAUCUGUUGCAAAUCCUUUUCAGCUAAUCAGGGGAAUGGCUUAAACCUCGGACUUAAUUCAUCCUUCAAAUAAACCUUCAGGAUCCGAAAUGCAAGGUAAAUAUAUCUUGUAGUAAAAAUGUGUUUUGAAAGUAUGCUUAAUUACCUGAUGCACAAAUCUAAUUAUGUUCUGAUGCAGAUUUGAGAUUGUUCGAUGCCAUUCCAAAUUAUUGAUCGAUGAAAAGGCAUCAGUUUGAUUGUUUCUUCAAAUUCUCUUGGCCUCAAAUGAAGAAAGUGUGAUAUUUGAGUCCUUGUGUUAGUUAUUUGGGAUAUAAAGGAGGCACAUUCAAAAUUUCAUGAGCUUCAUGGGUCAUCCUUCCUCGGAUCUAUUGGAUUUCAAGCGUUACAUAUGAAUUACCAAGUUGUAUUAAUCCAUCUAGGUGUAAAACAGGAGAAGUCAUGCUUGGCAAUGGUUUUGUUUUUUUUAAUUUCUCUUCGAUAUUGUGUUUGGUGAUCGGCCAUUUUCUGAAAGGAUUUUAAGUAAAUAAGGCUUUCUUUAAAUUGAUCGAAAAAGGUAAUUUUUUAUUUAACAAAAGAGGUAAAUUCUUAACAAUAAUCAGUAAUCAAUAAUAUAAUGAUAAAUAAAUAUAUCAGACUUAUUUCUCGUAGAGGGGGGAGCACUAGCACGUUUUCAUCGGACUAGCUACGGACCUUGCUUUUUAUUAACCACGGUCCACGCUCGUAACUCGCCGUUACAAGUAUGACCGGCUCUAUAUUAGGCACGCGCAUGAGACACAGCAAGAAACGAUACCAUAACUCUAAAUAAAUCUUAAAUUUAUUCUCAUUUUCUCAAUUUUGCAAUUAACUCCGAUCUAUUAAUCCCUCCGUUCUUUUCAUUUCAUAGACUCUAAAUAAAUCUUAAAUUUAUUCUCAUUUUCUCAAUUUUGCAAUUAACUCCGAUCGAUUAAUCCCUCCGUUCUUUUCAUUUCAUAGGCUCUAAAUAAAUCUUAAAUUUAUUCUCAUUUUCUCAAUUUUGCAAUUAACUCCGAUCUAUUAAUCCCUCCUUUCUUUUCAUUUUCUUAAAAAAAAAAGAGCACAAAAGAUUUUUAUAUCCUACCAUUUUCAUGAAUAUUGAUGAAUCCUACUAGAAAGAUACCACGAGCAUUCACGGUAUAACAGCCCAUGCCAUAUGUGUUUAAGUUAGCGUUUAAAUGACAUAUAAGCAUUCAAGAGGUUGGAUAGCUCAAGAGAUAUUCAACUAUCGUCCCAGAUUCCUUCAUAAAAAUGAUAUUAUUAUAUAAUCCUUGCGAUUGAAGACAUUAUAUUAUAGAAACUGAAGACAUUAUAUUAUAGAAGCGGUUCAACAAAAUUCCUUAUUAUUAUUCUGAUGUCGCGCUCUUAAAAUAGAACUUUAAACUACUAAAGUUGCCUGCACAACUUUAAAUUUUAAAUAAAUUUUCUGAAUUUAAAUUUCAAUAUAUGUUUUUUACAUCAUUAUUUGUGUUUAAAAAUAAUUUUACAUGUUUUUUGUAUUCGUUGUAUUUGUUCAAAAAUAAUUUCAAUAUAUAAAUAUAACAUCUUCUGUGUGUGCAUUUCCCACCACAAAAUCUUGAACUAAUACUAGGAAUAAUGCUAUAGGAAUAAAUACUAAAGAUUCUUAGGCUAAUGGUUGCAAGUGGAAUAUGACCCUGUUGUAAAUUAUAAAUAAAUCAAUGCCUACAUUUGGGGUGUACACGGUUCGGGUUGGUCAGUUUACCGGAAUUUAAUAACCAAACUCAGUUAAAUCAGAUUUUCAAAAUUUCAAAUCAACCUGAGCCGUGUAAACCCUAAAACCAAACCAAUUUGUAGUGUUUCGGUUUGGAUCGGUUUGGAUCGGUUUAUUAAAUAUAUAAUAAAAAAAAAUUAAACAGAUGCUCAACUCUCCUAUGCAUACCAGUAUAAUCAAAUCAGACUAAUCAGUAAAAGUGAAACACAAACAUGUAUGCUAGUAACUUAAAUAUUUCAUAAUAAAUUCCCUCUGGUAUACAAGUUAAGAAACUUUUACCCUUUGGGAAUUGCAAAAAAUAUACAUCUGGUGAACAAUAAUCAUACUAAUCACUAAUUUAGACAAGAGAAUAUAUUUAAAAUAUAUUUAGCGUGCUGGGCUAUACAUAUAUAUAUAUAUAUAUAAUAUUUAAAAUAUUUUAUUUUUUAUUCGGGUUGGUUUGGUUCGACCCAAAAAAACUCAAACUCGUAACCAACCCAAUUCGGGUUUAAAAAAUUCGAAUUAAAAAAAUUCGAAUUGUUAAAAAAAUUCAAACUAAAUACAUGUCGAGUUAAAAAAAUUCGAAUUGUUUCAGUCAAAAAGUGAUCGGUUCGGGUUGAUUUGGUUGGUUUUACCGUAUACACCUCUGAUCUACACUACAGAGCAGAGUUGCAAUUCAGGCCCAAUCAGGUACAUAUUUUGGUAGACCUAAGCCUGGGGUUUGGUUACACAAGCCUAAAGGUUGUUGGGCCGCAUCGUUGCGGUUACUAAUAAUUAAGUCAAUAUUGAUGGGUUUUGUAAAAAACACGAGAGUGUCAAUAUAUGAUGGGGAUUUUUUUUAAAAUUUUUGCUGAACAGGGAUGUUUUUUAAUUGUAAAAGAUUAAAAGAUAUUUAACCAUAGAGCGAUGAGAUACCCGAUGUUGAGCCUUAUGAUUUGCUUUAAAUGUUUUAAUAAUUUUUUUUUUUACAAUACAAACUUAUAUGCCUUGCAAAUUAGUACUAUUCUCAGGACCACUGAGGAUAAACCCACCACUUGCGUUUCCACCACUUGCGUUAUGUGAUCGUACUCAAAACUUGUUCUUUUAUUAAGAGCAAUAGUCUCCUAACCCACUCUUAAAUAUAAUAUAAAAUAUUAGACCCCUAGUAAGUUAAUACGAAUUUAAGAGUCUCAACUCCAACAAUUAAUAUUCUUUAUACUUGCUCUUAAGUUAAUAUUUUAUUCUUGUUUGGACUUGGAUAUGACACAAACUCAAAUGUAAUUGGAGGGAAUGAAUAUUUUAUUACUCUCUCCAUUCCAAAAUAAUAAUCGCUUUGACUUUUUUCACGUAUUUUGAAGUGCAAAAAAAACAUACUUGCACAUGUUAUUUUUGAAUUUUUUUUUUCUGAAUAAAAAUGGAGAUAUUAAACUUUUAUUCAGAAAAAGAAAAUUUCAAAUAUAAUGUGUAGAAGUAUGGUUUUUUUACAUCUCAAAAUACGCGCACAAAGUCAAAGCGACUAUUAUUUUGGAAUGGAUGGAGUAUAAAAAAUAAGUUAAAAGCUUUGUAGUGUCUCUUAACUUUGAGGAGAGAGGAGAGAGAGAAACAAGAGGCUCAAAAGCUACUAAGAGUUUCUUGGAGAAAAAUUUCCUUCUAAGAGCUCAUUUAUGAGUCUCUUGGAUGCUCUAGCCCUUAAAGUAAUUUACAAAUUAAUGACGCACCACAUUCAAAUUCUAAGCAACAAUUUGAUAAAGAUAUAAUAAAGGAAUGGUACUACGUACUAAAUUGUGCAAAUUAAUUAUAUUAUAAUAAUUUUUUGAUAUAAUAUUUAUAGUUUAUAUAUAUGUCAUAUAUAUAUAUAUAUAUAUAGGCUCAUGAUCAAAUACAAACCAAUCUUAAAAUAAAAACUAAAAACCUUUCCUUUUAUACAACCCAACAACUCCACCUUAUCUCUUCCAUCAAACCCACUUCGUCUCUCUCCUCUUCCUCCACCCCUGCUACCACAUCUCUGCCGACACUUCCACCCAUGUCACUGUUUCCGAUUCACCAUCAUCAUCACCACUUCUGCCAGACUGUCACGCCUGCCACCUGCUAUUGAUAUACUUACAGAAAUCGUAGCUAUUCUGGUGUACGAGUUAGUGAUAUUAGCUGUAUAUUUUAGUGAUAUUCGCUUUAGAAAUUAGUGAUAUUCGCUAUAGAAAUUAGUGAUAUUCGUUAAAAUCUCCAGAACUUGAUGCAAACCUCUAGAUCUGUUCUUGUUUGUUGAUUCUAGUGAUGAUGGCGGUGGUGGAGAUGGAAGCGGUGAACAUGGAGUGGGCGGGGGCAUGGAGGAUGCGGGAGUGGGGUUGAGAUGCCGGAGGUGGAAGUGGAGGUCGAGGUGGAGGUAUGGCAGAAGUAAGGAAUGAGAUAGCGCGCGGAGGUGAAGGUGGUGGUGGUGGUGGCGGCAGAGGUCGAGAUGAAGGUGGUGGAAGAGGUGAAAGUUGGGUGGAAGUUGGUGGUGGAGGCGGACUGAGGUUUGGAUGACGUGAAUGGGGCCGCAGGCGGCGACAAUCGUGGAGAGAGCGGCGGACAUGGAGUUGCCGGAAGUGGAGGUGGAGCUGGGGAAGAUGGAGGUGGAGUUAGAGAAGAUGGAGGUGGAGGUGGGGUUGUUUAAAAUUUUAGUGAUAUUGUAUUCAGAAUUUAGUGAUAUUGCAGCUGAGUUUUUAGUUUGUAGAAUAUUAAAAUACUCCCUCCGUCUCAAUUUAUCUGGCUUGUUUGAUUUUUUAUGGUAAAAUUGAUCAAACUUUAACUGUAAUUAGUAAUCAUUCUUAAAUGAUCUUGAAAAUCGAAAAAAUACAUUUUGAAGUAAAAUAAAUAUAGAUUCUAGCAAUAUAUUUUUAAUAAUUUUUUUUAUUAUUUUGUAUAUGUAAAUUUCAAUCAAUGUCAAUUUGACCGUAAAAUGUCGCGGGCUUCGCUUUGCAGGGCAGGGCUUUAUACUGGUUGAUGAGGACGAGUACAAUGCACAACAACAGCAGCAGGAGUGGCUUCUCCAGGAGGACGAUAAUGUUUCUGACAAUAGCAGCAGUUCUGGCUCAGUAGGAGGGGGGCAGCUCCAGAGUAUAUUAUCACCGAUUAAACUUGCAAGUCCAGGGUUUGGGUUUAUGAAGCUAGGCUUGGUUUAUGGUAGUUUCGUUUGCUCAAGUAUUGUCCAGUUUCAAGACUCUCUAGCUAUCGGGAGUCCUGUUGUAAUCAAAUUGAUCCUAUGCUUGUUGGUUAUCUACAAGUCUCUAAUGUCUAAAAAAGAAGAAAUAUAUAAGAAGAAUUUAAUUGAAAUUUAUCAUAUGUAUAACACUCUAAUUACACAAAUCCUGCAAAACCUUACUUCACGUCAGGCGAGUGAAAUUCGAAUCAGUUAGGUCUCGGUUAUCAUCAUGUUGACGUUAUAUCAAAUCGAUCGGAGAUGCGAGGUGAUCAUUCACAUGGGUCCAUAUGAUGAAACAAUAUCCUUGCAACGUACUAACAGGUGUUAUCUUUCCAAAACAUAAAAUUACAUGAUUAUGAUUAUGUGAUUAUUUUUUAUCUACAAUAUAUAUCAUUGUUGUGUGGUUCAUAUUUCAUUUUCCUCACAUUAGGUAUAAGUGUGUGCUUGAAUCUAUUAUGUUAUGAGUUGUUUCGUAUCAUAUUUCGUCAUUUUUAUAUAUCGUUUAGUUAGAUUUUAUUUGUUUUGUAUCAUCUUCUUCCGUACUUAGUUUCGCUAGUGUCCAUGAUGAAUGUUUGCAGUUCUUGGAUGUUGGCGAUGGAGGUGGUAUAGCAGUGUAUUAAUUAGUGCGUGUAGAUCACUCUGAUUAACAAAUGUUAUUGCAUGAUUUUUGUUUUAGUUUUAUAAUUUUGGAUAUUGUUUGUUGUUAAUAGUUUUAAUUGUAGACAUUAAUAUUAGUUAUUUUUUGAAUGACAAGUUGACUUUCUUUAAAAAAAAAUUAUCUUUGAAAUUUGAAUUUUCUCUUCAUGUUUUAAUUUGAAUUUUUGUGUUUCAAUUAGAAGAUAAUUUGAUAAGAUAAUUGUUGUCUUUUAAUUUGGUAAUUACUGAUUAUUGUACCCAAAUUUCAUAAUUCAUGGGGACCAUAUAUGAUGGCUUUAUUGUGCCUUAAUGAGGUAUUAUUGCGCCAUUAAGGGUUGAUUUGUUGAUUGGUGUAUACCAAAUUUAUAUGGGCAAUGCCAGAGACCCCAAAUUUUUAUUCCAAAAUUUGUUACCAAAUGACGUGGCAAACAAGUGGCGAAAUUUGAUUGGGUGAUUGAUGAAUCUGCAGGGGUGCCUCAUUAUUAUGGGAAUAAAUGCAACCAAUGAGAUUUUGCCACGUCAUUUGGGAAAAAUUUUGGGGAUAAAUAUUUGGGGUCCCUAGCAUUUUCCAAUUUAUAUAGUGUUAAUAAUGAUAAUUAGCUAAAAUUGUGAUAUUUUUGCUUGUNCUUUUAAUUUGGUAAUUACUGAUUAUUGUACCCAAAUUUCAUAAUUCAUGGGGACCAUAUAUGAUGGCUUUAUUGUGCCUUAAUGAGGUAUUAUUGCGCCAUUAAGGGUUGAUUUGUUGAUUGGUGUAUACCAAAUUUAUAUGGGCAAUGCCAGAGACCCCAAAUUUUUAUUCCAAAAUUUGUUACCAAAUGACGUGGCAAACAAGUGGCGAAAUUUGAUUGGGUGAUUGAUGAAUCUGCAGGGGUGCCUCAUUAUUAUGGGAAUAAAUGCAACCAAUGAGAUUUUGCCACGUCAUUUGGGAAAAAUUUUGGGGAUAAAUAUUUGGGGUCCCUAGCAUUUUCCAAUUUAUAUAGUGUUAAUAAUGAUAAUUAGCUAAAAUUGUGAUAUUUUUGCUUGUCAAGAUUUUUUUUUAUUUUUUAGUAGAUAUAUUUUAGAUCUUUUUUCAAUUUUCAACUAUAUUUUCCUAUUUAUAUUUUAAAUUUUCUUAAAUUAAUAGUCGGUUAUUUUGUUCAGAUUAAAAUUUUAUUAUGUAUCUAACCAAAGAGAUUUCACUAUCUUUUUGGUGUAGAUUUUUUUAAUGAUUUAUUUUAUAUUAGUUUUUAUAUUACUUUCCUUAUUCUUUAAAAAAAUUAUGUUAUAUUCAUAUCAUUUAAUGAGUUUGUUGACUCUUUUCGUCUUUAGUUUUAUAUAGUUUUAUUAUUCUAUUGUCUAUAUGAACUUAUUAUGGUUUUAUUUGUAUUGUAUUUUUCAGGGUACACGAGAUGGAAGAAAGAACGAUAGCGGGACCAUUUAUGGGUGUUUUCUUAUCGAAUAUUAAAUUUUAUUGUCUAAGCGUCCCCGGUCAUCUCUGCAUGUUCGAAGGUUAGAUGGUAAACUUUCUUGAACGAAAGGAACUCCUGAGAGCGACUAUUGUAUUAUGAUACAAUUCAUCAUACGUGAAAGUAUCUUGUGACAAAAAAAAAAAGUAUUGUCUAGUUUUUUUGCUUUUGGGUAUUUUGAGUUUCUGUGUCUUUGAAGUUGCAGGGCAAGGAUUUAAUCUCCCAUUUAUGAUGUUUAAUGCUAUCGUUGUUUUAUAAAAAAAAAUAAUUUGAAAUUUGAAUCUGAUCUUGAUUUCACAUUUUUAGAAAUUAAAUUCAAAUUAACCUUUUUCAGAUUUGGAAUUUAAAUCUAGUUUUUGAGCGAGGAAGAUAGGAUGAUUAAGAAAGCGACACCUUCAGUCGGCCAAAGCAAAAAAGAGAAAUCGGGCCGACUAAACAAUUGUAUUUCCAUCAUUACAUCAUAUAAAAAUAAGAUAUAUUUCUCGUCUUUUCUACACUUUGUCUGUGUAAAGUCAUAGACCAUUCCAUAAUUUAGUGGCAUUUUAUGUACAUAGAAACUUGUCCACUUCCUCACUCCCAUGGCCCCAUCACCCAUCACUCUGUAUUCAAUAACCGAUAGGAUAACCGGAGUGUACUUCGGAUGGACUACGAGGUCGAGGAUAGUUGAUUUAUAUCGUCGGUAUGAUAUUUUGUACUUCCUUUUUCAUCUGGCGCUUUGGAUUUGUGCCGGUCAAAUGGAUCAAAAUUUAAUUGAAAUUUAUUAAUAUUGAAAAAAUAAAAAAAUAUGUCAUUGGAAAUAAUUUUUAAUCUAUUUUAAGAUGUACUCCCCUCCGUCCUACCAAAUUCUUUAAAGUUUCUUUUUUUGGAUGUUCCACCAAUUUCUUUACAUUACAAAACUUUUCUAAAAUAGGUAAUGGGUCCCAUCACUUUCCCACUUUUUGUUCCCUUUCACACUACUUUUACUCCACUAUCUCUAUUUUUAUAUAUUAAAAAUCAAUGGGUCCCACCAUUUCACCCACUUUUCUUUCACUUUUCUACUAUUUUAUACAUAUUUCUUAACCUCCGUGCUCAAACCCAAUGUAAACAAUUGGGUGCGACGGAGGGAGUAAUUUUUAGUUUUUUACAUUAAUGAAAGAGUGACUUAUAAUUUUUGUUCAAAACUUAGUCAAUUUGACCAACAAAAUUAGAAAUAUGACAAUUAAAAAGGGACAGAGGGUGUAUUUUAUAAGUUAUAAAUAUAAAAAAAUUAUUUAAACACAAAAAAUAAAAUUACUUUUAUUUAAAUAAUUUUAAAAUUAUAUAUAUUAAACGCUUAUAUUAAAUUAAACCAAACUAUCUUCCCGCUCCGCAAGUCGGUAAUUUAUUAACCCUGGAUAUAGGAUAUGAUAACGACAAGUAGGACGCUGGUAAAACUUCUGUUUAUGGUACCGACUCCAUUAUUUUUAAUAAAUAAUGACUCUAAAGAAAAACAUACCACUGUAAUAAACAUGAACAUCACCGAUCAACCAACUAAUUAUAUUAGUCAAAUUUUUAAUCAAGAUUAACGUAACGUGUGUCUAAUGUUCAUGUCUCUGUAGCAAGUUUAGUUGCCACUAAUAUAUUAAAGUACAUGCUAGCCCCGUCAUUAAACUUAAGAUGCGACCCUUCUGCUUAAUUAAUUGUUUAAAGCUCGCACCAAAGAGUGUGAUUACACGUCUAUUACCAGCAAAUCCCAGCAGUAAUCAAGAAGUAUGGCCUAGUAUUAAAAAUUAUAUUAACAUAUAAUUAAUAUUAUUAAGACAAAAUUUUAAUAAAAAAAUUCAUCUAUUUUUUAAUCAAAAACUGUUAGUAAUUUUUAUUUAAGAAAACUAGUAAGUUACACGAAGUGCGCAUGGUUCGUUUUCUAAUUUACACUUGAGCUCAUCAUCCUAGAGAGGUGAAACAGUUGUCAAUAAAUUCAUACUUAGUAAUUUGUUGAACUGAUUAAAUUUUUAAUUAUUCAAUUAAUUAUUGGAAUUCAAUUAAUUUUUGAUUAAUUUAUAUUUCCUGGUUUUAUUGAUUAAAUUUGAUUUCUACCUUUUACGAGACUGAAAUGUUUAACUUUAAACUAAUUAAUUAGCAUAAAUUUAAUAAUCUUGAUUCUAAAAAAUUUAAUUAAAUUUUUAUUUGUGUAUUACAUCAUGCAAAAAAUCUAGAACAAUCUUUACAGUCAACUAGGUAAAUAGUGACCCUGACCAAGAAAAACGAUGUAAAUAGUGAUCAGCACACGUCACAAAUUAUAAAUGUUACUGAAAAUGAAAUUUAAAAGUAGAUAUAUGUGAACAAAAUAGGAAAGUUAAUAAUUAUCAUCAUCAUCUUGUUUGUAUAGAAUACAAAAACUUGUGAUAUAACAAACCAUCAGUUUGUAUCAAAAACGUGUACUCCAAGCGAAUACACACUCAGUGUGUGUGAGAACCACUCCCCACACCUAUUCAAACACGAUCUCCCGUAAACCCCACUUGCUUAAUUUUCCAAUUUUCAGCUUUUUUUUAGGGGAGAGUGGUAAAAAUCGAGUCUUUAAUUCACGUGAUCAGAUGGGUUUUUAGGGUGUGAUUUUGGGUUUGUGAAUCAGUGAUUCUUUGGGGGGUUUUAAAGAUUUUGGUGGGAUUUUGAUGGGAUUUUGGUGUGGUGAAAGAAGAUAUGAGAAAGUCUUUUAAAGAUUCGUUGAAAGCUCUUGAAGCUGAUAUUCUGCAUGCCAAUACUCUGUAUGUUUUUUGUUUUAGUAUGUUUAUGUUUAUGUCAGUUGGCAAUAAAUUGUGCGAGUCUGGGGGUUUGUUGGUUUUUGUGAUGUCAGUAUUUUUUUAUGGCUAUCACUCUGUCACUCUUUGUGCGAGUGUGUGUGUGUGUGUGAGAGAGAGAGAGAGAGAGACAGAGGAGAGGAGAGGAAAGGAGAGAAUUUUGGACCUUUUUAAAUAAGAAACUGUGUCACUGUGUAUGAGAGAGAGAGAGAGAAGGAGAGAGGGGGGGAUGUUAUGAUUGUUAAUUUGUGGCUAGUUAUUUGGGGAGGGGGAGGGGGAGGAGGGAGGGGGGAAGCAGAACUAUGGACCUUUUUUAAUUAGUUAUAUAACUGUGAUUGUUAAUUUGUGGCUAGUUAUUUCUGUUUGUGUUAUGUGACUGAAAAUUUUGGGUUGAUUGCAUUGUCUGGAAUGAUAUGUGUUCCAUUUUUUACCAGAUCAACUGCAAUGAUUCGGCUCGAUUGUCUCGACUGAAAUUAUUGAUUCAAUAAUUAUAGUUAUGUUUAAAUUUGUAGUUCAUUGAUCUUGUCUUAUUUACAUUAAGAAGCCUGAUUAUGUAGUUUCUGAAUCCAGUAAUGAUUUACAUUUUUUAAAUUAUGGAUAUGUAUUCUGUUUGCAAGCAUAUGUAAGUUUAUAUACAGAGCUCUUGAAGAACCGUUAUCUGUUUUUACCUAAGAUUUUGAAAUGCAGGGCUUCUGAUUAUCCUAAGGAGUAUGAUGGUGCCUGCCUGCAAAUGAGAUUGUCUUACAGUUCCUGUGCCCAUAUAUUUCUCUUUCUUGUUCAAUGGAGUGACUGUCACCUUGCUGGUGCACUUGGAUUGCUCAGGAUUCUAAUUUAUAAGGUUGUUUACUAGAUUUAUGCAUCUAUUAUUCUGAGGAUUAUGAUGUCUUCUGAAGAAUAUGAUGUUUCAUUGGUAUGUGACAGGCAUAUGAGGGUGGCAAGACGUCUAUGUAUGUCCAUGAGCGAAAAGCUAGUAUAAGAGAUUUUUAUGGUCAGUAAGCCUUGGAAAAGGAUAUUAAAAAUAUUUGUAUUAUUUUUUGAUGAGUUGUCACUCCACUUAAGAAGUGUCUGUGGAUUGGUAGAAUGUGGAACUCAUACUUUUCUUUACUUUGAAAAUUAUUUUCUGAUUUCUGCAUUUUUUGUUUAAAACUUUAUGCACAAAAUUAGUAGCUUCAGUACUCAUCUUUUCUCACCACGGAUAGGUGUGAUCUUCCCCUCCUUGUUGCAACUUCAAAGAGGGAUCAGUGAUAUUGAAGAUAGGAAACAGAAAGAGCUGUGUGCAACCAAGUAUAAGCGAAGAGAGGAGUUGGACAAAGAUAAGCUGAGUGAAAUUGAAAUAGAAAGGGAAGAGGAAUGUGGCAUUUGCAUGGAGAUGAACAGCAAGGUCGUGUUGCCCAGCUGCAAUCACACUUUGUGUAUAAAGUGCUAUAGAGAUUGGUAAGGAACUGUUCUACCAGUCCCUUGGGUGGUAUGUGCAUACAUCGACAUUUCUUGUACAAAUUUUUGAGUUAUGAUCAUUUGAUGUGUAAUGCUUUAGCAGUGAAAGGUGUGUAACUUUAAAAAAAAAUGGGUAUGCAUGGAGUCAUUUUUCCGUUUUGUGUUAUCCACUGCCAUCCUAAGAUGGAGUCAUUCAAAAUCUCAUCAACAUGGUGACAUUAGACUUUUAUAGGACAACCUUAUAACAACAGCAACAUGACUAACCAGAUUUUCAGUCUAUACAAUUUUUUCUUCUCUUUAGAAGGGCCGGGAGUUGUCACAGAAGCAGCUAGCAAUAUACAAUCUCAGUCUACUUUUCUAUUGAGUGGGUAAUCCUGGGUAUGUCAAAAUUGGUCUGGUGUGGUUUGGAUUGCCACCCGAGUCUUUAAAUAAAUAUGUGUCCUGUAAACUCCUGGAUUUGGAGCUAUAGGGAGCUAGCUUUGAUAUCUUAAAUUCCAUGUUGCGAGAUGUUAGUCCCUGAUUCAUAAAAAUAAUUUCAGUUCUAAUGGUUUUUGUUUCCACCAACUAGUUAUAUCAAAUUUGAGUUUCCAAUUUGGCUAAUGCUAGUCGGUAGAGUUAUAUUCCUGAGUUCUUGUGCACGAAUGCUUGCUCCCUGCUAGGAACAGGCAUAUUCAUAUUACAAUUUACACACCAUUUCAUCAGUCUUCUACAGGGUAUAUCUAAUGUUAAGGUAAGGAUAUCUUGAGUAUAGUGUAAUUAAUUGUUGCAUCAAAACAGGGUGUACUUAGCAUUACAGCCUUGUAGAUAAUAAUUCUAGAAUUUUGCCCUAAAAUUUCUCUCAUUUGCUGGUUACGUGAACAAACUUUUUCAUGUCAAGAAUACUGUAUUUGUUUUCCUUUCUGCAGGCAUUCUCGCUCUCAGUCAUGUCCAUUCUGUAGGGACAGUCUCAAGAGAGUAAAGUCGGGCGACCUUUGGAUCUAUACUGGCCCUUCUGACAUUGUAGACUUGACUGCGAUAGCAAGAGAAAGCAUAAAGAGACUUAUUAUUUAUAUCAAGCAGUUGCCUGUAGUUGCUGAACCGACAGUAGUUCCGUAUAAUUCUCAUUUCUGAUCAGGGUUUCACACAAAUGUUUUGUACAUAUACUGGAUUGUCUUUUAGGAUUCUAUUUGCUUUAUUUAAAUACAAUUAGGACCUAUGCUGUAGUUGGACAUGGUCACUAGUUUUAGAUGAUGUGCAGAGCCAUGUCAGUGUGACAAAUAGAAUUAUGAAAAUACAAAGCAUUCUUUUCUUCUUUCUCCUUAUGUUUUUCUUGCCAAGUAUAUUCAACGCAUUCAUUCCUUAAAUGCUUCAAUCUCUUGUUGAAUUUUGUUUAAGAGGAAAUUCAGAAUUUACUGGUAUGCUAUGAAUCGCAAGAUCGUUGUACUGAAAAUUGCAACAAUUAUUGAGGUAUAUUUAAUUGGGAUUUUAAAUAAUUUUUUAAUUUAUGAAAAUUGGGUGUAUUCAACUCGAUUUAAAAAAUAUAUCAAGGUAUACAACUAGGGUUUUAAAUUAUAUUACAAAAUCUGGUUGCAUUCAAUCAAUUCAUGAAAUUUCUCAGGUGCUUAAAUCCUAAAAAGUCUAUAUUGAUUCUACGAUUUUUUAUCUAGAAUCUGCGCGAAAUUAAAAUCAGAUACAAUACAUUAAAAUUCAAGAACUAUAUAAAAUCCAUGAACUCCCACGGAACAAAUUAGCAAGCCUGGACAAAUUUUCUAUCUAAUACUCCAGAGGGCGGACAGAGUCUGACAUUUAAAGCUCCAAUCACAUAUCCUUGGAGAUGUUGAUAACUUGCAAAAACUGCAGAACUGAAGCUAAAUUGCUGCAGAUGAGAUGCUCAUGAUUAUAUAUUACAGAACUGAUGAUAUGAAGAGCAUGGAGAAACUGGCAUAAGCCAAAAAGACUAUAAACCUACUUCGUAGAAAAUACUGUGAUUAUGUUUAUUACAUUGGUCGGCCUUGACAUGAAACAAUAACUAGCAUAAAGGAAAAGAAACACUGUAUGAACAUGUUCAUUCCAAUUUUGAUUUAAACACAAGAUGCCCUUUGGCUAAGGAAUCCAUAAUUCAAAAGUAGCAUAUGGGUUUAGUCGUCAUCUUCAUCUUCGUCAUCCUCUUCCUCAGCAUCAUCCUACACACGGGACAAAACUUGAGAAUUAGUUUCACUCUUUUAGGUCAUUACAUAUCUUGCUUUCUGGAUAAGAUAGCAUGAGAACCAAUCGGAGAAAAAUACCAUCAGCAAAUCAAUAGAACUGUCCUCAGUGAAAUUAAAAAGGACAAUGCAUAUACUAUCAUACUCUCUUAAAGAGUGCAAGUUUAAUGUUUCGUGUAUGGGACUACCUGUCCACUUUCUUCACCAUCAUCAUGUAUUUCAGAUUCCUCGUCACCAUCGUCAGUUGUGCUUUCCUGUUUUAAAAUUUAUAUGAGCCAGCAGCAACCCAAAGCACUUAAAUUAAACAAACUCUCGAUCUGAUAGUAUUCUCCCACUGUUAUAGAUAGAUGAAGUGGCUUACCUGCUUCUUAUUGUACGCAGUUAUAAGCUUUUGAUACUCUCCCUUUCGUUUUGCUGCCUUCGCUUCAUAUGGUGCUUUUUCCUGCAAGAAGCAGAGACAGAAGCGAAAUAAAGCUUCUUCCAUCAAUAGGCUUGCUACUAGGAGCACGUAACACAACGUAUGUUUAUAACCAUUACAUCCCCCUUAAUUGGCAAAGACGUUUUUCCAGGUUUAUGCCUAAGCUAUGUAUCUAAACUCAACUGUAUUAUAUGAUGGUUGAUAAAAACGUUUCUCCUACAUUAGUUUGUCUUCCUUACUUUUUUAUAAAGUUGCAGAACACAGUUUUUAAAUAUAAAGAGUAUUAUCUGCUCUCAGCUUUUCUAACUAUAGUACAGUUCUGAAUGCAUUCUUUAAAAGAAUAACAACAUAUUCUAUGUUCAUCAAUAUAGCACUAGAAAUCUCCUUAAUGCAUGCCUUACUCAAAUCCAUCCAAUAUAAACUUGAAUAGAAAUUUUGUAAGUGGUUUAGCAGAAGAUCAAUAUAGUAAUGUCUAAUCAUCCUACUCAAUCAAGCCAGAUAAGCACUAGAAUGAUAAGAAUUAAAACUAAUCUGUGUACUUACAGCUGCACUCAGUGACUUCCACUUCUCUCCACCAGCUUUUCCAACCUUCAAUGAAUUAGAUGAAUAUAAUUAUACCGAAAGGAGAUCUUUGGAAAGAUUGCUAAGAUCUACUUACUGCUGACACAGCCUUCACGGUAGGAUUUUCCUUUUUGAAUGUCUUCCUAAACUCCUCACUACAAAAACCACAUGAAGAGAAACUUUAAAACACUCACUUCACAUAUAAUUCAACUCCAAUUUCAGGAAUAACACAUACAGAAAAACGAAAAAAGCACUUGGAGGCCUCUUUGGUUUGUUAGGGUCCUUGGCCAAUUUAUUCUUCUUGGCCUUGCUUCCGCUCUUAUCUGCUUUCGCAACAGCCUUUCUCUUCCCAACUUUUCUGUUAGAACAGCACACAGUUUACCCAUCAGAGAUACGUCCCAUUAACACGAUACCAAAUAACUCAUACCCGCAUAACAAACCUUACAAAAUCAACAUCAGGCAGCAACAUAAAAGAACAACAAGACAACGACUUUUCAAUUAAUAAUUAUAACCAAAGAGCAUUCUUUAAAAGAAUAAUUGAGCAAAACCCAAACUUCACAACCAUUGUAGCACAAACGAACUAUGAGCAAGAAUAUAAGAUCAUAAUAAAGUGAUUACUUGUCAUCAACAGGCUUCAAGGUUUCCCUUGUAGCAGCUCCUUUACCCUUGGCAGUCUUCAUACCAGUUUCUACUUGUAUAUGCUACACCUAACACAACUGAAAGACUAAAACAAAUCAAAUUAACCAUCAUCAAGCUUAAUAAAAGUUCAUAUCAUCACAAAAUUAUAAUAAAAAUAUUACAAGCAACAAUCAACUCAACAACAAAAGUCAACGCAGUCAGAUUCAAUAAACAAAAUCAUCAACAACAACAACAAAAAAAGCUAUCCUAUAAUCUAAUAAAAAAAUCCUACAUGAACCAAAUUAUCAAAAUUAUAUUAAAAAACACAUAUAAACAGCUCUGACUUGACAUAUAAACUCAAAAGUAGUGCUUAUAUACCAUAAAAACAUGCUUAACUCCAAAGAAUUUAGGACCAGAAGUUACAGAACAGUUAUUACAUGAUUAUAGAAAGUGAUGUGCACUAACAUGUAUAAAGAUAUGUACAUGUUUUCAUACAGGUGGUGUUACAUGGAGAAGAAACAUACCCAGAUGUAGAAAGAUGGAUCUAGAUCAGAAAUAAAACAAAGGGUGUAAACAGAAUAAUUAUAAAAUGAUACUGAGCAAGUGGAGACUGAGAAAAAGAAAGCAAAGCCAGAAAGAAGAAUCAAAGCGAGCGUGUGACAGACCACAAAUGUAGUAAAAUUUAGUUCCGGUUAAAAAAUCAAUUCGACCGUGUGACUUGCGUUGACUCUGUUUGUCCCGUCCAAGAUACCGGAAUCUCUUGUGUAAAAUACUCCCUCUGUCCCUCUCAUUUGUUUACAGUUACUAUUUUGGGAUGUCCCUCUCAUUUCUUUACAUUACCAUAAAUAGUAAGUUUUUCUCAUCAUUACACCCACUAUCUUCCCACACUAUCUCAUAUUUAACAAUAAAAACUACUAUUACACCCACUAUUUUCCUCCACUAUCUCAAAUCUAUUAUUAAAUAUUGAUGGGUCCCACCACUUUACUCACUUUUCAUCUAACUUUACUCAUUUUUCAUACAUUGUCUUGGUCUCCGUGUCCCCCUCCAAUGUAAACAAUUGAGGGGGACGGAGGGAGUAGAAUAAUAGAGGUGCACGAAACUCUCGGGACGGGUCGGAUUCUAAAAAGACUUGGUUUUUUAAUCAAUAUUAUUGGGGUUUGAUUUUAACCUGAUCGGAUUUUCGUAAAAUAAUUAAAUCUGAUUAAAUUUUUUAAAAAAUUAAUAUAAUUGAAUCAGAUUUUUUUAUCGGAUCUCAUCAUAUCGGGUCAUAUUUUAUAUGAAAUAUAGGAUAUAUUGAAAUCUUAAACUUGGUCAUGACGAAUCGCAUUUUUAAUUAAAUUAGACUUUUUCUUGACCAAAAUUAAUUAGAUUUUUUAAUGUAUGUUUUUUGUGCCCGGUUGUAGUAGCAACGAAAUUAUCGUUCAGAACGAUAAAUGAAUUUAAUAGAAAUUUAUUUUUAUAGCUUAUAAGGAAUUUAAUAUUAAGAUAAAAAUGAACAUGGUUUUAUAUGAUUGAUUAUACAUGAAAAAAUUUAGAUAAUGUUUACUAUUCUCUCACAUUUUACUCUAAAGAUAUUUUUAUUUACGGUUUUUUGAACCAUCUCAUUGUCUACAAUUCUGAAAAAAAAUACAAUAAUUUUCUUAUUAUUUGAACUUCGCCAUUUCAAAAUCCAACCUUAUUCAAGAGUUACAUUUAGAUUUCGAGUUAUAUGAUUCGCUCUUCUCUGGGUUUUAGUUCUCAGUACAUGAAAUUACACUAACACACAAGUACACGGGAUACCAAAUAAAUACAUAUAGAUCAAUAAUGAGCUCUGGACCAAAGAUCAGUUCCUAGGUAGUUUCUUUCCUUUACCAAAUCGGAUUCCACAAAUAUGGGAGAAACUCUGCAUAAAAACCAAACCAAACCAAACAUAUAUAUUUCCAAGAAAAACAGCAACGGAGAACUAUAUAAUUUACUAAUUUAUUCUGAAGUGCUGGAAUCAAACUAUACACAUAUAGUUCUGUGUCCUUGGUUUCUUGUAAGGAUAAGAGGAACCAGGCUGCAUCUUCGUACAAGCUGGCGUGGUGGCCGUUUCAUUGAGUAGAACAAGGCUCUCUGUUAAACUGUUGUCAAAUGUGUAUUCUGCUGCUGUCUACUGAGCUACACUGCAUUGGUGAAGAUCAGAUCAAACCCAUUUGUACAAGCUUCACUCGCCAGUUGAGGUCAUAUAUGUUUCCAUGAAUGUCAAUGCUCGAAUGGUUAAACCAGCUGAAAGAGGAAUAAAUAUAUAUUAUAUUUUAUAAUGUUUGUAAUUAUAUUAAAAAUUGAUAACGUGUGUGUGUGUUUAAAUGUUCAAAUACAUAUAUGUACAAGAGAAAAAAAGACAAUCACCUGAGCACGUAACUGAGACGUAGAUUCUUGGAGCACAUUCUUCAUUGUUUACUGCAAAAGAUGUAUAAAUAAAAAUUAAAAAACAGGAUAAGUAAUUGUAUGGUAAAAAUUUAAAAAUCAAGUUAAAAAUAUUACAAAUAUUAAUUAAAACAUGUAUUUUAAGUAUAAAAAAAUCAUUUUAAAUUGAAUUCAUUAUUGUAUACCGUGAUAAGUUAUGAAUAUAUGCAAAAUGAAUUAAAGUUUCCUAUCACGAUCUCAAGGCAAGUCACACCAGGGUCAAAAUUUAGUACGAUUUUCGAAAUUCAAUCUUUAAAGAUAGACCCAAAAUAUGAAUAUAGAACCAAUAAUUGAGAUAAAUAUACUCAAAACAACUUGUAUGAAUCGAAACGUCAAGAAAUUCAAUUGAAAGUAAAAUAUUUCAUAUUGAUAAGUUAUAAUUUUCUGGUCUAGACCAAUAAUAAUAUAUCUUAAAAAUGUUAAUAUAUAUAUAUAUAUAUAUAUACACAUAUAUACACACACAUGUGUGUCUCAUUACUCGUACAUACAAUAUAUAUGCAUGUGUAUACUAUUGUUUAAAUAUUCAACCUAAAAGAUGCUUACCAUUAAAGAUCGAGAUCCCCAAAAUUAUGCCGGGGACAAUCAGGAUAUAUUGACAAAUCGAUCAAAGAUAAUAAACUCGACACUCUAAUUUUUAAUUGAGAGCGUACUAAUAUUUUCAGAUUUGAUAAGGUCAUGCUGGUUUCAGUUGAAAAAUUUGGGUUCAAAAUUCUUGCUAAAUUUGAUGCUCAUAAAAUUACUUUGAUUAGGAUGACUUCAAAAAGAGAGAAACAGGAAGGAUGUGAGAAAAAUUAAGAAAAGAUUGGGACGAUACAAGGUAUGUGAGUAGCAGGGGAGAAAAGAGGAUAUGCGAUAUGUAUAUAAAAAGGAGAUGAAAGGUUUUAUAGGGGAGACCAAAAUGAUCUGGAAAUGACGAGAAGUUUCUAGAGAAAUCGAGAAGAUAUCAGAAUGAAAUAAUAAUAUAAACAGAUGUCUCGAAACUCUGUUUGGUUUUUUAAUCAUUACUAUGGGGUUUGAUUUUAACUUGACCGGAUUUUCUUAAAACAAUUAAAUCUGAUUAAGUUUUUUAAAAAAGUUAAUAUAAUUGAAUCAGAUUUUUUUAUCGGAUCUCAUUCUGUCGGGUCAUAUUUUAUACAAAAUAUAAGAUAUAUUGAAAUCUUAAACUUGGUCAGGACGAAUCGCAUUUUUAAUUAAAUUAGACUUUUUCUUGACCAAAAUUAAUUAGAUUUUCUGAUGUAUGUUUUUUUGUGCAUCCCGGCUGUAGUAGCAACGAAAUUGUCGUUUUCUGAACGAUAAAUGAAUUUAAUAGUAAUUUAUUUUUAUAGCUUAUGAAAAAUUUAAUAUUAAAAUAAAAAUGAACCUGGUUUUAUAUGAUUGAUUAUACAUAAAAAAAAUUAGAUAAUGUUUACUAUUCUCUCACAUUUUACUCUAAAGAUAUUUUUAUUUAUGGUUUUUUGAACCAUCUCAUUGUCUACAAUUCCAAAAAAAAAAAUUACUAACAAUUUUUUUAUUAUUUGAACUUGGCCAUUUCAAAAUCCGACCUUAUUUAAAAGUUACAUUUACAUUUCGAGUUACACGAUUCCCUCUUCUCUGAGUUUUACCAAAUAAGGGUCUGUUUGGGAGUGAUGUUAAAAAUUGUUGUGCUUUUAGAAAAAGUGCCGGUAAAAUAAGUUCUGUUGUAGAAAUCAGAUGAUUGUUUGGUAAUUUUUUUGAUAUUUACUUAUUUUGAGUUAUAAUAUAAAAAAAUAAUGAUUUUGGUGAGGUUUUAUAAUGAAAUCUAUAAUAGCAUUCUCCAAAAGCUGAAAAGCAGCUUUUAAAAGCAUGGGAGAACAUGCUUUUUCUAACGGCAGCUAAAAGCUGUGUUCCAGUUUUUCAGCAAAAAGCUACUGUUGUUGUCUGCAACAGCAACCCAAACAGUACCUAAAUACAUUUAGGUAUCAAUAAUCAGCUUUGGACCAAAGAUCAGUUCCUAUUCUAGGUAGUUUCUUUCCUUUACCAAAUCGGAUUCCACAAAUAUGGGAGAAACUCGGCAUAAAAACCAAACAAAACAAAUAUAUUUCCAAGAAAAACAGCAACGGAGAAGUAUAUAAUUUAAUUUUUUCUGAAGUGCUGGAAUUAAACCAUACACAUAUAGUCCUGUGUCCUUGGUUUCUUGUAAGGAUAAGAGGAACCAGGCUGCAUCUUCGUACAAGCUGGCGUGGUGGUUUCAUUGAGUAGAACAAGGCUCUCUGUUAAACCAUUUAUACGGGGACUUGCUCGAUUCUUUACUACGUCUGAUAGUCCCAUUGGAGCUGUAUAUUCUAGUUCCGAUUCAUUUUCUACAUCAUAGAGGAAGUACUUAGCUAAGAACGGCUUACGUUUGACGAACCUCUUUAGCACAAGCUUGCCCAUACUUAUGAAACCCAUAUCAGAAAAAUGACUGCUGCUGUUUUCUGCUUCGAUAGUGAACUUCUUAUCCCAUGAAACAGAGUGGUCAUUACCAGUUCUCAGAACCCACAUUACCAUAUAAGAACCAAGGGACUUGCCCAUCACAGCUACUGUUUUUUCGCAAUAUUCCUCCAGUUUAACAAAGAGAUAGCCAUCAGCAUCAGGCAAAUCUAUCUGUCGCAUUAUCUCAUGCCUCAAAUCAAAGACAGCAACAACUUGAUCGAUCCCAUUUUUUUUUGGAUAUUGUAGAAAAUAUGCACAACCAUUUACUAACCUGGCUGGAAAUGGCCUAAUUGUAUAUUCACCAUAAAAAAUAGAACCAAUAUUGUUUUUAGCAAUUCUUGAUUUCUUCCACUGAUCCGUGCUCAAGCUGUAGACAUAAACAUGAUACAAUGUGUUUAGAUAAGGUACAACAUUGAUCACCUUGUAAUCACCCCCAUGGUAACCAAAACACAAGUAACAAGUAUCAACGUACGGACGUUUUUCUUCGUUUUCUAUUGGAGGAAGUUUCUUGCCUUUUUUGACAACCGGAUUCCAUAAAAAUAUGGGAGAGUCCGCCUUGAGUACCUUCUGAGGAAGCGACAAACAAACUAACCCAUCACAAAUUCCGUAAUUCUCUAAACCAUGUUCGGCUGAAUCUUUACCAAACAUGGAACGCAUGUCGUGUGCAUGCGACUCAAGAACGUGACUAUAUGUUUUGGAAUCAACCAGAGUUGUCAAGUAGGGAAAAUCAUGAUCAAGUGCAGGAUUGGGGUCUCUCUGGUUCCAGAGUAGAAGGUAUUUGUUUGGGUUCGAGGAGGCUUUGUUGUGGGCGAGAUGGGAUUCGAUGAAGGAAUGAUCGCUGAUGACUUGAUUCCAGCUUUUGCAGACACUCCUCAGUAGCAAAAGACACUUCACGGGUAGUAGUAUGAAUAUACUGCACCACAAGUGUUCUGGUAUGUGUUGAUUCCAGCUUGAAGCCAUUGAAUUCUUCCUAGCUGUUCGAAAAAGUUUUGAAAGAUGUGGUGGCUGAAUAUAGUUAUCGAUGAGUCGCUAGGGUUGUGUGUUUUUCUAAAUAAAACCAAACCAAACCAAUGUGAGAGGGUUUGGACUUUGAAGAUGGUAUGAUCUGGGCCCAAAAAAGGCUCAGGAAAUAUAGUGAGCUGACACAUUUACCUAAAACGGGAAUUAUUCCAGCCCUUUGCGUGCGGGUAAAUUAUUAAAAUUUUCAUUAAGAUGAGGUUGGAAAAUAAAUUAAACCAAUAUUAAUAUUAGAUUUUAAUCUUAUUUAACAUGUUAUGUAUAUUUACGGGUACUGCAUUAUUAAAAAUUAAUUAUUUGCAAUACAACUUUAAAAAUCUUAUAUCUUACCAACACUUUUACAUUUAUUUUUGAAUAUUACCAAUAUGAUGUACAUUAGGUGAACGUUUGAUUGAUGUCGAUAUUAAUUUUUUACAUAAUAAGUCAAAAUAACAUAUAUGUAGUACCUUAGAUAGAUACGAAUGGAUCGUAUCCGACUUAUAAUUUUUAAAUAAUGAUAGUCCAAAUUUAAGAGUAAUAUUAGAAGAAUUGACUACAUUAAAGAAUUGUUAUUUUUCCGGUCCCAAAAAAAUGUUAAAUUAUUUUUAUAUUUUCAAACACUUUUUAAAAAAAUAGGGUAUUAUGCCCGCGCUACGCGUGCUAAGACACAUAAAAAUAUUAUAAAUCUAAUAAAACAUGCGAAAUUAACUAAAUAAUGAUUUGUUCAAAAAAAUAAUUCAAAAAAUUCUCAAUUCUCAAACCCGAAGAAUUUUUAAAUGCUUUCGUUACUAUCAAAUUCUUGAAAAAUCAUAAUUAAAAAUUACGUAAAUAAUGCUGACAAAAAAAACUUCUCACUUGAAAAAAUGUGACGAAUCAGUAAAUAUCUUAUUUGUCUCGCAUACCGAUACUACACGUUCUAAAACUCUGGAAUUUAUUGAUACACAAAGCAAUAUAAUAACAAAAAUAUUAACAGUUUACAUGUCAGGACUAAAGUAUACAAAAAAUGAUUAGGCUAAUGAUUAUAUUGUAUGUAUGAUUUUUCAAGUCUCUAACUAUAAUUAAAAAAAUAAGACACAUCCGAUUAACAUUUAUGUAAUAUCUACGCUUUCCACGAUUUUCAUAACUUCAUUCUAAAAAACAUACGUAUAACACGCAAAAUGUCAUAACUGAUUACUAUUAUAUUUAUAAAUUUAUAAAAUAUAUGUGACAAAAAAAUAAUUUGUGUUAUUUUUUUCUCUUAUUCAAAACAUGAAGAUUUAUUGCUCAAAGAUCCAGAAGUUUCAAUAUGUUACAACUUAAUAAAUCUUGCUCUCAUUUGUGUUCUUUUUAACUUCUUGCUCUAUGAAUGAUGUUCGUUAUUUUAAAGGGAACUAACGCAUCUCAAAUAAUGUUGUAAUAACACAAAAUAUAAUCUUUAAUAAAGAAGCGCAAAAACAAAUAUCUAACAAACACUUGUAUCCUUGAGCAACAUGGAUUUACAUAUAUUGCAACAAAUUUUGCUUAUUAAAAUAUGUAAAAUAGGGUAAAUAUAACAUUUAAUCAAUGCCAAUAGUCUUACUAAAUUAAAUAUAAUAAACAUAAUAAAACCUCCGAAUAUGCUUUAUAAUCAAUAUACUUAUAAUAUAAAGGAGAAGCGAGGGGCGUGUAGGUGGCGCCUCUCACAUCGCUCCGUUCUAUUUUUCUAAUUUUCUGAAAUUUUUAGAUGAAAAAUAUCAAAAAUUAGUAAUAUCUUUUUUAGUUUCGGAUAUAUUAGAAGCAAGUUUUGGAAUCUGAUUUUGUUUCAGAUUAUUUAUGAAAUACAGUAGGUUGAAAUUUUAAUCUGAUUUUGUUUUCAUAUAAAGAAGAAGCGAGGGGCGUGUAAGUGGCGGCUAUCACAUCACUCCAUUCUAUUUUUAUAUUUUUCUGGAAUUUUCGGAUGAAAAAUAUCAAAAAUUAGAACUACCUUCUUUAGUUUAGGAUAUAUUAGAAGCAAGUUUCAGAAUCUGAUUUUGUUCCAGAUUAUUUAUGGAAUAUAGCAUCUUGAAAGUUUUAAUCUGAUUUUGUUUCAGAUUAUUUAAUUAUGGGAAAGAGUAGAACUAUCUCUCAAUACCACAAUCCUACCUUUCUCUGGUGAUAUUUCUCUUGCUCGAUUUCUAACUCGGUGGUGCCGUCCUUCUCAACGAUAAGUGAAGGCUGUUCAUAAUGGUAUAUAUUAAAAAAAAUAAAUCCAAACACGGGGGAAGAUCUAGUUUUCACAUGAUUUUGAUAGAUGAUAUCAAUAAAUUAACUAUUAGUGAUGUAUUUUUGUUGGUUAUUCUUUUAUAAUAUUUGUUUCGUUAAUCGGACAUGUUUGUUGUUGUUAAUUUUUAUAUGAUUUACUUUGUACAGAGGAAAAAAUUAUUCAUGCAUUAUCUGGUUGCUCCGCUCAAGCAACUUUUAAGUGAAGACUGUUCAUACAAUAUUAAAAAAUAAAAGCUGUUACAAGGGGUAGUUAUAGACCGCUAUGUUAAGGAUUUAAGUUAGAUGGUUUUGUGCACAAUCAAUCGAAAAAAUUGGAGGAAGGUGACAAUGUAAGAACAUGAUUAGUUUUAAAAAAAACAUAAAUAAAAUUAAGAUUCGUCGUACUUUAAAUUGUUAAUUACGUGUAAAAAUAUAUAUUUAUUUUUUCAUAGUCCAAUUUUGCAAUUUUAUAAAUCAGUAUUGGUAUUACAUCAAGAUUUUUAUAAUAUAAAAUUUAUUUUAUCCUAUGAAUAUUAAUUUUUAAUCAUUAAUAUACUUUUUAUAGACAGCCACAAAACUAUUGCAUCCUACAUAUAUUAAUAUUAAAUCAUUAAUAUAAUUUUUAUAGACCGCCGCAACGCGCGGUUUCUCAACUAGUUAUUAUUAAAAGGAAAAUGCAACUCAAUGUUAAUAUGUAACAUGGAUUCUUUUAUUAUAUUUAAUAUGAGUAAGACGAAAUUUACUUCAGUAGUGAUCUAUAUAAUUUAUGUGGUGCUACGUUCACAAAUAUACGCAUACGCCAAUAUGUAUAUAUAGCACAAUUUAGUGCUCUCGCCAAUAUUAAUAUAUGUACAUAUGUACAUAUUUUUUACACAGCUGAUGUUACAUGGAGAAGAAACAUACCCAAAUGUAGAAAGAUAAAUCUAGAUCAGAAAUAAAGGGUGUAAACAGAAUAAAUUAGAAAGUGAUACGAAGCAAGUGGAGACCGAGAAAAAGAAAGCAAAGCCAGAAAGAAAAUCAAAGCGAGCAAAUUUAUUCGACCGUGUGACGCGUUGAUUCUAUUUGUUCCGUCCAAGAUACUGGAAUCUACUUGUAAAAUAGAGAUGCACGAAACUCUCGGGACGGGUAACACCUCUGGUUUAGGUGUGAUCCUCCGUAGGUUCAAUGGGGAACUGAUUUCGUGCGCAGCAGGCUCGAUUAGGAGGUUAUGAUCCCCUCUGGGAAACCAACUGUGGGCUAUAUUUAGUGGAAUGCAUCGGGCUUAUCUUGGGGACUCUCGCCGUGUUAUCAUAGAAACUGACAAUAUCGAGGCAUUUGGAGCAAUCAAAUUCCCCAACGCAAAUGCCCCAACUGAAGUCUCUAGUAUUGUUCAACAAAUCUUGGUGCUGAAGAAUAGCCAGACAUGGAACUGUGCUAUUUGCUUUGUUUAUGCUAGCUAGCCGAAACAAAGUAGCCACUUACCUUGCUCUUCUUGGUGCUGAGCUUUUCACAAGGGUGUUCCUCUUCACUGAGCCUCUUGGGCGUGCAGCCGAGCUGAUGGACCUCGAUAUUGGUCUAGGGCCUCAUGAUCCGGAGUUCUUGGAGGCUGAAAUGGCAGAAGAUGAGUUGGAACAACUGGAGGUCGUCAUGGCAAAUGUGGAUGAUGGCCCUUUGGUGCUGGGUUUGGCUGCAACUUUUCUGGGGGUGGCUGGCUUCCAGCUCGCACCUCCGGUGCCUGAAAACCAGGAGCCUGACAUUCAAGAUGUGGCAUACGAGGAUGACCUCGAUGUUGUAGAUGGUGCAGUAAUUAUGCAAGCGUAAUUUCAGUGCAGUACAUGGAGCAGUGCUUUUUGCUAUAUGCACUGUCUUAUUCUAUUGUGUACCUUUUGCUCGGCGUAGUAUUCUAUUUGAGCUUUUAGCAGCUCUUCCUAGCUAGUAGUUUCCCCAGUAGCUCCUUGUUUUUGUUCUGUUUCAUGAUAUAAGCUGGAGAUAUGGGUGGCUUCGGCCGGUGUUUCUUUUGUAUCUCCUCUUUAGAGGAGUUUCUUAUAUUAAUGAAAUUGCAUUCAAAAAAAAAAAAACUCUCGGGACGGGUUUUAAACGGAUUCUAAAAAGAUUUGUUUUUUAGACAAUAUUAUGGGUUUUGAUUUUCACCCGACCAGAUUUCGUAAAUAAUUAAGCCUGAUUAAGUUUCUUAAAAAUGGUUUUAAGAAACGUAAAAAUAAUCGAAUCAGAUUUUUACAUCGGAUUUUAUCAUAUUGAGUCGUAUUUUAUACAAAAUAUAGAAUAUAUUGAAACCUCAAAUUUGGAGACCCUACCGGAUUUUAAUCGGAUUGAACUUUUUCCGGACAAGAAUGAAUUAGAUUUUUCGAUCUAGGUUUAUGCGCAUCUAUGAAUCUACGCGGUUGUAUUAGCAACAAAGUCAUCUUUUUGCAAAUGAGAAAUGAAUUUAAUAAAAAAAGUUUUAUAAAUUGUGGAAAAUAUUUAAAUAGAAAGGAACUUGAUUUUAUAUAAUUAUACAUUAAAAAAAUUAGAUAAUGUUGGUAUUCUCUCGCAUUUUACUCAAAAUAUUUUUAUUUACGAUUUUUUGAAACAUCUCAUUUGUUUCCAUUUCUGAAAAAAUAAAACAAUUUUCUUAUUAUUCGAACUGGGCCAUUUCAAAAUCAGAGCUCAUUUUAAAAUAUUUUUUUUAAAAUACUAAAACUAAAAGUAUUACAUAACUGUUGUGCAUAUAUAUAAAGUCGGUCUAAGAAAAUCACAUCAAUUUGUUGUGAUAAUAUAAUACAAACAAAUAUAAGAUCUUCCUUAUAUGUUGAAACAAAUCAUUUUCUGAACUUAUAUUUAUUGUUUAAUUUAUAUAAUUACAAAUUUGCAAUCUAUUACAUAUGUAUUUUAAAUAUUGUGUUUUGACGCGGCUAUUAAAUCUGUUUUUUAUAACCUCAAGUUCGUCGAAUGAUACACUUUAAAACUGUUGUCAAAUGUGUAUUAUGCUGCUGUCUGCUGAGCUACACUGCAUUGGUGAAGAUCAGAUCAAACCCAUUUGUACAAGCUUCACUCGCCAAUUGAGGUCAUAUACGAUCUCAUGAAUGUCAAUGCUCGAAUGGUUAAACCAGCUGAAAGAGGAAUAAAUAUAUAUUAUAUUUUAUAGUGUUUGUAAUUAUAUUGAAAAUUGAUAAUGUGUGUGUGUAUAAAUGUUCAAAUACAUAUAUGUACAAGAGAAAAAAAGACAAUCACCUGAGCACGUAACUGAGACGUAGAUUCUUGGAGCACAUUCUUCAUUGUUUACCGCAAAAGAUGUAUAAAUUAAAAUUAAAAAAUAGGACAAGUAAUUGAAUGGUAAAAAUUUAAAGAUCAAGUUAAAAAUAUUACAAAUAUUAAUUAAAACAUGUAUUUUAAGUAUAAAAAAUGAUUUUAAAUUGAAUUAAUUAUUGUAUACCGUGAUAAGUUAUGAAUAUAUGCAAAUGAAUUAAAGUUUUCUAUCACGAUCUCAAGGCAAGUCACAACAGGGUCAAAAUUUAGUACGAUUUUCGAAAUUCAAUCUUUAAAGAUAGACCCAAUAUAUGAAUAUAGAACCAAUAAUUGAGAUAAAUAUACUCAAAACAACUUGUAUGAAUCGAAACGUCACGAAACUCAAUUGAAAAUAAAAUAUUUCAUAUUAAUAAGUUAAAAUUUUCAGGUCUAGACCAAUAAUAAUAUAUCUUAAAAAUGUUAAUAUAUAUAUAUAUAUACACACACACAUACAGACACACACGUGUGUGUCUCAUUACUCGUACAUACAAUAUAUAUGCAUGUGUAUACUAUUGUUUAAAUAUUCAACCUAAAAGAUGCUUACCAUUAAAGAUCGAGAUCCCCAAAAUUAUGCCGGGACAAUCAGGAUAUAUUGACAAAUCGAUCAAAGAUAAUAGACUCGACACUCUAAUUUUUAAUUGAGAGCGUACUAAUAUUUUCAGAUUUGAUAAGAUCAUGCUGGUUUCAGUUGAAAAUUUUGGGUUCAAAAUUCUUGCUAAAUUUGAUGCUCAUAAAAUUACUUUGAUUAGAAUGACUUCAAAAAGAGAGAAACAGGAAGGAUGUGAGAAAAGUUAAGAAAAGAUUGGGACGAUACAAGGUAUGUGAGUAGCAGGGGAUAAAAGAGGAUAUGCGAUAUGUAUAUAAAAAGGAGAUGAAAGGUUUUACAGGGGAGACCAAAAUGGUCUGGAAAUGACGAGAAGUUUCUAGAGAAAUCGAGAAGAUAUCAUAAUAAAAUAAUAAUAUAAACAGAUGUCUCGAAACUCUGUUUGGUUUUUUAAUCAAUACUAUGGGGUUUGAUUUUAAUCUGACCGGAUUUUCGUAAAAUAAUUAAAUCUGAUUAAGUAUUCUAAAAAAGUUAAUAUAAUUGAAUCAGAUUUUUUUAUCGGAUCUCAUUCUGUCGGGUCAUAUUUUAUACGAAAUAUAGGAUAUACUGAAAUCUUAAACUUGGUCAGGACGAAUCGCAUUUUUAAUUAAAUUAGACUUUUUAUUGACCAAAAUUAAUUAGAUUUUCUGAUGUAUGUUUUUUGUGCAUCCCGGCUGUAGUAGCAACAAAAUUAUCGUUUUCUGAACGAUAGAUGAAUUUAAUAGGAAUUUAUUUUUAUAGCUUAUGAAAAAUCUAAUAUUAAAAUAAAAAUGAACCUAGUUUUAUAUGAUUGAUUAUACAUAAAAUUAUCAGAUAAUGUUUACUAUUCUCUCACAUUUUACUCUAAAAAUAUUUUUAUUUAUGGUUUUUUGAACCAUCUCAUUGUCUACAAUUCUAAAAAAAAAAUACUAACAAUUUUUUUAUUAUUUGAACUUGGCCAUUUCAAAAUCCGACCUUAUUUAAGAGUUACAUUUACGUUUCGAGUUAUAUGAUUCCCUCUACUCUGAGUUUUACCAAAUAAGGGUCUGUUUGGGAGUGCUGUUAAAAAUUGCGGUGCUGUCAGAAAAAGUGCUGGUAAAAUAAGUUCUGUUGUAGAAAUCAGAUAACUGUUUGGUAAUUUUUUUGAUAUUUACUUAUUUUGAGUUAUAAUAUAAAAAAAAUAAUGAUUUUGGUGAGGUUUUAUAAUGAAAUCUAUAAUAGCAUUCUCCAAAAGCUGAAAAGCAGCUUUUAAAAGAAUGGGAGAACAUGUUUUUUCUAACUUUUCCAGUUUUUCACCUGCUUUUCAGCAAAAAGCUGAUGUUGCUGUCUGCAACAGCAACCCAAACAGUACAUUUACAGAUCAAUAAUGAGCUCUGGACCAAAGAUCAGUUCCUAUUCUAGGUAGUUUCUUUCCUUUACCAAAUCGGAUUCCACAGAUAUGGGAGAAACUCUGCAUAAUUAAAAUCCAAACCAAACAAAAAUAUUUCCAAGAAAAACAGCAACGGAGAAGUAUAUAAUUUAAUUUAUUCUAAAGUGCUGGAAUCAAACCAUCCACAUAUAGUUCUGUGUCCUUGGUUUCUUGUAAGGCUGAAAAGCAGCUUUUAAAAGAAUGGGAGAACAUGUUUUUUCUAACUUUUCCAGUUUUUCACCUGCUUUUCAGCAAAAAGCUGAUGUUGCUGUCUGCAACAGCAACCCAAACAGUACAUUUACAGAUCAAUAAUGAGCUCUGGACCAAAGAUCAGUUCCUAUUCUAGGUAGUUUCUUUCCUUUACCAAAUCGGAUUCCACAGAUAUGGGAGAAACUCUGCAUAAUUAAAAUCCAAACCAAACAAAAAUAUUUCCAAGAAAAACAGCAACGGAGAAGUAUAUAAUUUAAUUUAUUUUAAAGUGCUGGAAUCAAACCAUCCACAUAUAGUUCUGUGUCCUUGGUUUCUUGUAAGGAUAUAUAAGAGGAACCAGGCUGCAUCUUCGUACAAGUUUCUUGCCUUUUUUGACAACCGGAUUCCAUAAAAAUUUGGGAGAGUCCGCCUUGAGCACCUUCUGAGGAAGCGACAAACCAACUAACCCAUCACAAAUUCCGUAAUUCUAUAAACCAUGUUCGGCUGAAUCUUUACCAAACAUGGAACGCAUGUCGUGUGCAUGCGACUCGAGAACGUGACUAUAUGUUUUGGAAUCAACCAGAGUUGUCAAGUAGGGAAAAUCAUGAUCAAGUGCAGGAUUGGGGUCUCUCUGGUUCCAGAGUAGAAGGUAUUUGUUUGGGUUCGAGGAGGCUUUGUUGUGGGCGAGAUGGGAUUCGAUGAAGGAAUGAUCGCUGAUGACUUGAUUCCAGCUUUUGCAGACACUCCUCAGUAGCAAAAGACACUUCACGGGUAGUAGUAUGAAUAUACUGCACCACAAGUGUUCUGGUAUGUGUUGCUUCCAGCUUGAAGCCAUUGAAUUCUUUCUAGCUGUUCCAAAAAGUUUUGGAAGACGCUGAAUAUAGUUAUCGAUGAGUAGCUAGGGUUUCAUGUUUUUUUAAAUAAAACCAAACCAAACCCAAUGUGAGAGAGUUUGGACUUUGGAGAUAGUAUGAUCUGGGCCCAAAAAAGUUUUUUUUUUUUUUUUUUACAAAUGCAAGAAGAUUUCAUUAACUCGAAUAUAAUACAGUCGGGACAAACCCCCAACUGUCGAUACAACCAGGUGGUAAAACAAAUAGCAUGCUAAAAACAAUUAGAUGAUUUGUUUCCUGAUCGUUUAACAGAUAGAAUUCAAUAAUUCUUGAAGCUAAGAACGAAAUCAAAGACAUCCCAAGCGAUCCAAAUUGCACCAAAAUCUCUGGAAACAGUAACAUCGCAAUUGACCAUAUCACGGCCCAAAAAAGUUUUAGGAAAUAUAGGAAGCUGACACAUUUACAUAAAACUAGGGAAUUAUUCCCCGCCGGUAAAUUAUUAAAAUCAUCAAUAUAAUCAAUCAUCACUCAAUAUACUUAUAUAAAGGAGAAGCGAGGGGCGUGUAGGUGGCGCCUUGAAAGUUUUAAUCUGAUUUUGUUUCAGAUUAUUUGAUUAUGGGAAAGACAGAUUAUUUAUGGAAUAUAGUAACUUGAAAGUUUUAAUAUGAUUUUGUUUCAGAUUAUUUAAUUAUGGGAAAGAUUAGCACACAAGUCUCUCUGCACCUAUAAAUACCCCUAUAAACGGUAGGGUUUUGGAUCAUCUAAACACAACUUCCUCUCUCUCAAUAUCUCUCAAUAUCUUUGGUGAUAGCUCUCUUGCUCGAUUUUUAAAGGAGAAGCGAGAGGCGUGUAGGUGGCGCCUCUCACAUCGCUCCGUUCUCUCUUGUGAGAGUUCUCUUGCUCGAUUUCUAACUCAGAGUCGGUGGUGCCGUUCUUCUUCAACGAUAAGUGAAGGCUGUUUAUACGGUAUUAAAAACAAAUAUUAAUAUUAAAUCAUUAAUAUAAUUUUUUAUAGGCAGCCGCAACGCGCGGCUUCUCAACUAGUCAAUAUACUUAUAUAAAGGAGAAGCGAAGGGCGUGUAGGUGGCGCCUCUCACAUCGCUCCGUUCUAUUUUUCCAAUUUUCUGGAUUUUUCAGAUGAAAAAUAUCAAAAAUUAUGCGGGCGUUUCUAGAAUUGCUCGAUUCAGUCUUUUAAUUUUUCUUAAAUUUUGGAGAGAAAAUAUAGUUAUAAUUCAAAAAAUCAUGUUCAAGAAUUCUAAAGGUAAUACAAUUCUUUUCUUAUUGAUAUUGAAUUCUAAAUGUAACUCUAGAAUCUAGAAGAGGGGUUCUUAAUUUUUUUAUUUAGGAAUCAUAAAGAUAAUAUAAUUCUUAUUUUUUUUAUACAUUAAUAUACAAAUUAUUAAAGAAGUACAAUUCUUAUUUUCAAAAAUUAUAGAAUUUAUAGUUUUAUUUUAUCAAAUUUAAAAACAAAAUUUACAGUUUUAUUUUAUUAAUUUUUCAAAAUUGAUCACAUAAAUUUGUAUUAAACGUGUAUAAAAAAUCAAUUUUUUACGGGGCUGGCCGCAUGAACUGAUCAGGAGACAUAAGUUUCUUUCACCACCUAUUUCUACUCUGCUUCUAAUCUCUGGAUGGCUAUAACUUGCUCUGACUUGGCACCGGAGAUCAUGAUCGUGUGCUACAGAUUUCUCAACAUUAUACAACACGCGUAAGUUUUCUACUCAUUAUCUUCCUUAUGUUGAUUGCAGUAGAGCUAUCUAUCUCCUUUUUUCCUGUGAUAUGGUAACUUGGCUAUGCUUCUGCCUGGAAGUUUGCAGUGCCAAUUUCUGUAUAUUUGAGUAUACAGCUACAUUGUGUGUCUGGGGUAGCUUACAUAGAUUUUUGUGGUUUGAAUCAAUGUCCAGGCGAGUGUCCAAUGUGUUUGUGUAAGAUUAACAAAAUAAAGUGUAUGACUUCAACCAUUCUAAAAAACCAAUCAUCACACUAAACCUUGAAAGAUUUCUGGCAGGAGAAGAAGGCGCCAAAGCCAAAGUUUUCGUCAACACAAUCGUAGCUACUGUGUUUUACAAUUCCGCAACCAACACUCGAAGAUAUAUAUAUAUAUAUAUAUAUAUAUAUAUAUAUAUAUAUAUAUGAAUAGUUAAAAAUAUUACAUAGCCGAGUAUAUAUAUGUAUAUAUAGAGAGAGAGAGAGAGAGAGAGAGAGAGAGAGAGAGAGGGGGGUUACAUGGAGUACUUUAAAAAGGGAGUAUUUGGAGUCCCUUAGAUUAGCCAUUGGAUCAGAUUCCAUCCUGCGGUUAAGAUUAGAAGUUGAGAAACAUUUUUUGUUUAAUUUUUGAAACACAAAAAACUGCACAUUUUUUGUUCAGCGCGUGUCAUACCCGUCUUCAGCGGUGGGAGACUAAUCCCGCAUUCCAUUCCAGUGUGAUCAGUUUCAUCCCGCAUACCACUCCACUGAAAUAUCGAUUAGAAGCACUGUAGGAUUCGCAUCAACAUGUCCUGCGGUUUUUUGAAUUGCUGUAUACUUAAGGAAGAAAAGUUUCAUCGGAGAGAGACCCACAAUCGACGAUGAGUUCAGGUAUGUAACCGCCUAAUUGAUCUAAUUUUGGGGUCUAUUUCCAUUGCAUGCAAUGUUUAGGGUUUAAAUGAGUUUCUAAUUGAGGGAUUUUGGUACUGAUACUGUAAUGCAUGUCCUACUGUAAUUGAGGUGUUGUAUCGAUCCUCGGUUGUGCCGUGUAGAUGAAAUUAGUGUCUAAUUAUUUUGUUUUACGUUGUUUGGUAUUGGUUUUUAUAAUGGGGAGUUGGUUUCUCACUUUAAUGUGGUUCGGAAAUAUAACUGGAUUUGUACUGCUAUGGGAUCAAUUUGCUAAUAUCUUACCUUUUUUGUUCUGCAUAACAUGUUGUUUAGAAUAUUAUAGUGUGUUAAAUGUGUGUGGGUAAAAUUAGUGUUAAAAAUUGAGUGUAGUACAUAAUUUGUUCUCAACCUAGGUGAGCCAUAUUGUGCUGUAGGCCUUAAAAUUGGGUUUUAUGUUCCCAGUUGCAAGAUGUGUGUAGAAUUUGUGGGUAUUUCGCGUGCCUUUGUGUCCUGCUAUAAGAGUCGAGUGUGAGACCAGUCCAUUUGACUUGCUCUUUGCAGAACAAGAAAACUAUUCUGUGUGUCAGACAUAUUUGAUUUCGUUGGGCGUAUAAGACUUGUCUGUGUAGUAAUUGUGGGUAAUAUUAAUGUUUUUGGGUCAUGCUAUAAGUGUUGAGGAUGAGUUAAGUAAAUUGUACUUGAUCUGUGCAGAACAAGGAAACCGUAAUGUGCUUUCAUAGUGCGUCAAAUUAUUUUCUUGUGGUCUUGAAGUUCUGCUAAAGGUGUUGGCUUGCAUAACACAUUGUUUAGUUGCAUGACAUUGAAGUUGCAAUGAAAUUAUGAAUCAUGUUCCCUUUUAUGUCGCAUAAUGAAACUAAGAAAUUUAUUUUGUAGGACGAAGGAGAAGAGGUCCUCAGUUUCAGCAUCUGAAUGAUUCAUGUAUUUGUAGUCGACAUCAUGUACAAUGUUUUCAAAGGCAUUGUUCCUCAACUUUCCACUAGUCCAGCGAACUUCUCCUCUAAAUCUGACAACCAAGCCGCUUCCCUUGGGAUCCCAAUCAAGAGUAAAAGCUCCAACUGACGGAUCAUUCUCAUUCAACCAAGAUGUCAUCGACCAGACGCUGCCAGUCUUAUGAUUAACUCCAAGUUUCAUUCCCGAUAAAAGGGUAUCACUCGGAUAAUCAAAAGUUUGCCAUAAUGUCACACCCCCUUCAAUUAGUACAAAAUUCCCCGUAUCCAACAGCCUCACGGUUCUAUUAAAACCCUUUGAACUAUUAUAUAAAACUACAUUGACAGAAGAGUCAGAGCUGAGCAUAAGAUAGCCUGAUCCUGAUUCUAUCGAGAGCACUGAGGUUAAAUUUAUUGGUGUGUUUCUAUUACCAACCCAUAAUGAUUUGGGAUCGAACUGCACAUACGACAAAAAACAUAGUUAAAGAGAAGUGCUAAACAAUAGAGCAAAUAAGUUACAUCAAACACGUAAACAAAAAGUAACAAAACAAAAACAAUGUUACUGGUGGCAUCCAUCAACACACGCGCAAAGCCAAAGAAAACAUAUAAAAAUGAUUCUGCACUCCAAAAACAUUCGGAACAGACUAUCCUAUACACCCACUGGACUAAAAUAUGAGUUCAUAAUAUUUGUUUAGAAUAGCAUGACUCGCAAAAAAUAGAGAUGGGAACGAUAUGAAUACCGUGCACUAUUCUUACUACCCAACACAAAAGCCAUACAUUUUUAACUCAUACUACAAUUGCUAGCACUACACAAUCCAAACACCUAGAAAUACAUACUACAUAAUAAUGAUAGAUAGCAUGCAGGACAAAAUCGAGAACUGAACUCCUAGAAAAAUGGUUUAGUUGUAACUGCCUUGAUUGAUGCUUGAUCACGUACAUGCCUGAGGACAAAAAAGAAACGCGCGUGAUAUAUAGAAAAUAUUGUUUAAACUUUAGUUUUAAUAAAACUGAUCUAAUAUAAUGACAGCCGUUGGAUGCAGUUUGAAUGGAGGGCCUAGAUUAGGAUUCCAAGGACUCCAAUAUAACAUGGAUCCCAAAUAACUUUUCUCUCUCUCUCUCUCUCUCUCUCUCUCUCUAUAUAUAUAUAUAUAUAUAUAUAUAUAUAUAUAUAUAUAUAUAUNNNNNNNNNNNNNNNNNNNNNNNNNNNNNNNNNNNNNNNNNNNNNNNNNNNNNNNNNNNNNNNNNNNNNNNNNNNNNNNNNNNNNNNNNNNNNNNNNNNNNNNNNNNNNNNNNNNNNNNNNNNNNNNNNNNNNNNNNNNNNNNNNNNNNNNNNNNNNNNNNNNNNNNNNNNNNNNNNNNNNNNNNNNNNNNNNNNNNNNNNNNNNNNNNNNNNNNNNNNNNNNNNNNNNNNNNNNNNNNNNNNNNNNNNNNNNNNNNNNNNNNNNNNNNNNNNNNNNNNNNNNNNNNNNNNNNNNNNNNNNNNNNNNNNNNNNNNNNNNNNNNNNNNNNNNNNNNNNNNNNNNNNNNNNNNNNNNNNNNNNNNNNNNNNNNNNNNNNNNNNNNNNNNNNNNNNNNNNNNNNNNNNNNNNNNNNNNNNNNNNNNNNNNNNNNNNNNNNNNNNNNNNNNNNNNNNNNNNNNNNNNNNNNNNNNNNNNNNNNNNNNNNNNNNNNNNNNNNNNNNAAAAUAAUACGAUUCUUUUUUGCAAGACGGAUCCAUGUUAGUCGUUUCGGAGAAAACUGAAUAACGUGAUUACAUAAAUUCUUUGGACAAGAAAAGUUAACCACAAUAUAUGAUGCUGGCCAGAGGUGGGAAAGUGGUCUAAAAAUAAUUAUAGACAAGUACAGUUUAGAAAAAUUAAAUUCUUAUUUUCAAAAGUUAUAAAAUUUAUAUUCUUAUUUGAUUAAUUUUUUUCAAAUUAUAUAUCUAAAAAAUAUAAAGGAGGAUGCAGUACGGUGAUGUGGCGUCUCUGGAAACUCUCCGUUUAAUUUUUCUAAUUCUUUAAGAAAAAAUAGGUAAAGUAGCUAAAAAAUAGUAAUCGUAAAAGAGAUAUAAUUUUAAGUAGUUAAGAAGUAGGAAUCUUAACGCGUCUCUAGAAACUCUCUGGUUAAUUAUUCUAUUUUUUCUAAUUUUUUAAAGAGAAAAUAGGUAAAGUAGCUAAAAAAUAGUAAUUGUAAAAGAGAUAUAAUUCUAAGUAGUUAAAAAAUAAGAAUCGUAACAAAAAUAUAAUAGCUAAAAUUUGUGAAAUUCUAAGUAGUUAACAAAUAGGAACCUUAAAUUAAAAAAUAGGAAUCUUAAGAAAAAUAUAAUAGCUAAAAUUUAUGAAAUGGAUAUAUUUAUCCAAUUAUGAUUAUAAUUUUAUCAUAACGUAAAUGAUUCUUGAGAGGACACGCGGGAGGUUACGUAGAGUCUCUAGAAACUUUCCGUUAAAAUUGAUAAUUUUUUGAAAGAAAAUAGGUAAAGUAGCUAAAAAAUAGUAAUCAUAAAAGAGAUACAAUUCUAAGUAGUUAAGAAAUAAAAAUUUUAACAAAUAUAUAAUAGCUAAAAUCUAUGAAAUUCUAAGUAGUGAAGAAAUAGGAAUCUUAAAGAAAAAUAAAAUAGCUAAAAUCUAUGAAAUUGGAUAUAUUUAUCCAAUUAUAAUUAUAAUUUUAUCAUAAUGUAAAUGAUUCUUGAUUAGUAUUGUAUUUGAGGGGAGGGCGGCCCAAAUUAAUUUUUAUCGAAAUAAUAAUAAAUUUUCUAUUAGUAUUAUGUUUGACGGGAAAGUGGCUAAAAUAAAUUUUUUAUCUAAGUUAUAAUAUAUUUUUUUUAUUAAAAUGUGGCUACAACUUAAAAUAAUUUUUAUCCAAUUAUAAUCUUUAACUUUAUUAUAAUUAUAAUAAUUUUUAUUAGUAUUCUGUUUGACGGUAGGGUGACUCAAACUAAUAUCUAUAUUAUAUUGUUUUGUGCGGCUCAAACUAAUUUUUAUCUAUAUUAUUAUAUUUAAUUUUAUCAUAAUUAUAAUAAUUAUUGAUUAAUAUUGUCUUUGAUAGGUAGGCGGGUCAAACAAUUUUUUUUAUUAGUAUUGUGUUUGACAGGUGAGCCACUUAAACAAAUUUUUAUAUUAAUUAUAAUAUUUUUUUAUUAAUGAUAUGUUUAACGGGAACACGACUCAAAAUAUCUUUUAUGCCAUUAUAAUAUUAUUUCAUAUCAAAAUUUAUAAAAAAAGAUUCUUUAUUAGUAUUGUGUUUGAGGGGAGGGCGAUCCAAAUUAAUUUUUAUCUAAAUAAUAAUAAAUUUUCUAUUAGUAUUAUGUUUGACAGGAAAGUAGCUAAAACAAUUUUUUGUCUAAAUUUAUAAAAAAUUUCAUAACACCGCCGCGAAGCGCGGCUUUAUUCACUAGUAUACUUAUAUAAUCAUAGGGGCGUGUAGGUGGCGCCUCUCGCAUCGCUCUAUUCUAUUUUUCUAAAUUUUUUGGAAUUUUUUGAUGAAAAAUAUCAAAAAUUAGAACUACCAUUUUUAAUUUCGGGUAUAUUAGAAGCAAGUUUCAGAAUCUGAUUUUGCUUCAGAUUAUUUAUGGAAUAAAUUAGCUUGAAAGUUUUAAUCUGAUUUUGUUUCAAAUUAUUUAAUUAUGGGAAAGACAGAUUAUUUAUGGAAUAUAGUAGCUUGAAAGUAUUAAUAUGAUUGUGUUCAGAUUAUUUAAUUAUGGGAAAAAGUAGCACACAAGUCACUCUGCACCUAUAAAUACCCGUAUUGAUUGUACUUUGUAGGGUUUUGGAUCAUCUAAACACAAUCGCCUCUCUCUCAAUACCACAAACCAACCUCUCUCUGGUGAUAGUUCUCUUACUAGAUUUUUAAAGGAGAAGCGAGGGUGUGUAGGUGGCGCCUCUCACAUCGCUCCGUUCUAUUAUUCUAAUUUUCUGGAAUUUUUAGAAGAAAAUUAUCAAAAAUUAGAACUACCUUUUUUAGUUUCGGGUAUAUUACAAGCAAGUUUCAAAAUCUGAUUUUGUUUCAAAUUAUUUAUGAAAUAUAGUAGUUUGAAAUUUUUAAUCUGAUUUUGUUUCAGAUUAUUUAAUUAUGGGAAAGAGGGGCACACAAGUCUCUCUGCACUCUCUGCACUUAUAAAUACCCCUAUAGAUUGUAGUGUUUUGGAUCAUCUAAACACAACCUCCUAUCUCUCAAUACCACAACCCUACCUAUCUCUGGUGAUAGUUCUCUUGCUCGAUUUCUAACUCGUAGGUGCCGUUCUUCUCCAACGAUAAGUGAAGGCUGUUUAUACAGUAUUGAAAAAAUAAAAGUUGUUGCAAGCAAAGGUAGUUAUAGACCGUGAUAUUGGAGUCGACAAAUCCAAACACGGGAAAAGAAUAUUGUCUUGACAUGAUAUUGAUGGUUGAUAUCAACAAAAUUCACUAUCAGUGAUGUAUGUUUGUUGGUUUUUCUUUUUAUAAUAUUUGUUUUGUUCAUCGAACAUGUUUGUUGUUGUUAAUUUUUAUAUGAUUUACUUUGUAUAUAGGAUAAAAUUAUUCAUGAAUUAUCUGUUUGCUCCGUUCAAGCAACUUUUAAGAGGGUAGUUAUAGACCGCUAUCUCACAGAUUUAAGUUAAAUGUUUUUGUUCACAAUCAAUCCAAAAAAAUUGGAGGAAGGCGACAAUGUAAAAACAUGAUUACUUUUUUAAAAAAACAAAUAAAAUUAAGAUUCGUCAUACUUUAAAUUGUUAGUUACGUGUAUAAAUUUAUUUUCAUUUUUUCACCAUGAAUAUAAAUUCGUCAUUAUGUAUAUAAAUUUUGUUUCAGAUUAUUUAGUUAUGGGAAAGACAAAUUAUUUAUGGAAUAUAGUAGCUUGAAAAUUUUAAUCUGAUUUUAUUUCAGAUUAUUUAAUUAUGGGAAAGAGUAGCACGCAAGUCUCUUUGCACCUAUAAAUACCGAAAGAGUAGCGCAAAAGUCUCUCUGCACCUAUAAAUACACGUGUAUAUUGUAGGGUUUUGGAUCAUCUAAACACAACCUUCUUUCUCUCAAUACCACAAACCUAUCUCUCUCUGGUGAUAGUUCUCUUGCUCAAUUUUUAAACGAGAAGCGAGGGGCAUGUAGGUGGCGCCUCUCACAUCGCUCCAUUCUAUUUUUCUAAUUUUCUGGAAUUUUCGGAAUAAAAAUAUCAAAAAUUAGAACUACCUUUUUUAGUUUCGGAUAUAUUAGAAGCAAAUUUCAAAAUCUGAUUUUGUUUCAAAUUAUUUAUAGAAUAUAGUAGCUUGAAAGUUUUAAUCUGAUUUUGUUUCGGAUUAUUUAAUUAUGGGAAAGAAUCCUGUCUCUCAAUACCACAACCCUACCUCUCUCUCUCUCUGGUGAUAGUUCUCUUGCUCGAUUUCUAACUCGGAGGUGCCGUUCUUCUGCAACGAUAGGUGAAGGCUAUUUAUACAGUAUUUAAAAAAUAAAGGUUGUUGCAAGCAAAGAUAGUUAUAAACCGCUAUAUUGGAGUCGACAAAUCCAAACACAGGAAAAGAAUAUAGUCUUGACAUAAUAUUGAUGGUUGAUAUCAAUAAAUUAACUAUUAGUGACGUAUGUUUGUUGGUUAUUCUUUUAUAAUAUUUGGUUUGUUCGUCAGACAUGUUAUUUGUUGUUAAUUUUUCUAUAAUUUACUUUGUAUACAGGAAAAAAUUAUUCAUGCAUUAUCUGUUUGCUCCGUUCAAGCAACUUUUAAGAAAAAGUUGUUUAUACAGUAUUAAAAAAAUAAAGGUUGUUACAAGUAAGAGUAGUUAUAGACCGCUAUCUCAUAGAUUUAAAUUAGAUGUUUUUUUGCAAAAUUAAUCCGAAAAAAUUGGAAGAAGGUGACAAUGUAAGAACAUGAUUACUUUUCAAAAAAAAAAACAAAUAAAAUUAACAUUCGUCAUGCUUUAAAUUGUUAAUUACGUGUAUAAAUUUAUUUUCAUUUUUUCACCAUGAAUUAUAGUCCAAUUUUGCAAUUUUAUAUAUUAGUAUUGGUAUUACAUCAAGAUUGUUAUAAUAUAAAUUUAUUUGAUCCUACAAAUAUUAAUUUUAAAACAUUAAUAUACUUUAAUAAACUUCCACAAAAUUAUUCUAUUCUACAAAUAUUAAUAUUGAAUCAUUAAUAUAAUUUUUAUAAUUUUUAUAGGCCGCCGCAACUCGCGACUUCUCAACUAGUUUUCAUUAAGAUGAGGUCGGAAAAUAAAUUAGACCAUAUUAACAUUAGAUUUUUUUAUCUUUAUUUAACAUAUUAUGUAUAUUUACGGGUAUUGCAUCAUUAAAUAUUAAUUAUUUGCAAUACAACUUUAAAAAUCUUAUCUUACAAACACUUUUACAUUUAUUUUUGAAUAUUACCAAUAUGAUGUACAUGAUGUGAACGUUUGAUUGAUGUCGAUAUUAUUUUUUAACAUAAUAAGUCAAAAUAACAUAUAUGUAGUACCUUAGAGAGAUACGAAUGGAUCGUAUCUGAAUUAUUAUUUUUAAAUAAUGAUGGUCUAAAUUUAAGAGUAAUAUUAGAAGAAUUGACUACAUAAAAGAACUGUUAUCUUUUUAGUCCCAAAAAAAUGUUAAAUUAUUUUUAUAUUUUCAAACACAUUUUAAAAAAAAGUUUUAAAAAACGUAAAAAUAAUCGAAUCAGAUUUUUACAUCGGAUUUUUAUCAUAUUGAGUCGUAUUUUAUACAAAAUAUAGAAUAUAUUAAAACCUUAAAUUUGGUGACCCUACCGGAUUUUAACCGGAUUGAACUUUUUUCGGACAAGAAUGAAUUAUAUUUUUGGAUCUAGAUUUUUGUGCAUAUCUGAAUCUACGCGGUUGUAUUAGCAACAAAGUUAUCGUUUUGCGAAUGAGAAUUGAAUUUAAUAAAAAAAGUUUUAUAAAUUGUGAAAAAUAUUUAAAUAGAAAGGAACCUGAUUUUAUAUAAUUAUACAUUAAAAAAAUUAGAUAAUGUUGGUAUUCUCUGGCAUUUUACUUUAAAAAUAUUUUUAUUUAUGAUUUUUUGAAACAUCUCAUUUGUUUCCAUUUCUGAAAAAAUAAAACAAUUUUCUUAUUAUUCGAACUUGGCCAUUUCAAAAUCAGAGCUCAUUGUAAAAUAAUUUUUAUAAAAAAUACUAAAACUAAAAGUAUUACAUAACUGUUGUGCAUGUAUAUAAAGUAAGUCUAAGAAAAUCACAUCAAUUUGUUGUGAUAAUAUAAUACAAACAAAAUAUACGAUCGUCCUUAUAUGUUGAAACAAAUCAUUUUCUGAACUUAUAUUUAUUUUUUAAUUUAUAUAAUUACAAGUUUACAAUCUAUGACAUAUGUAUUUUAAAUAUUGUGUUUUGACGCGGCUAUUAAAUCCGCUUUUUAUAACCUCAAGUUCUUCGAAUGAUACACUUUAAAAUUGUUGUCAAAUGUGUAUUCUGUUGCUGUCUACUGAGCUACACUGCAUUGGUCAAGAUCAGAUCAUAUACGCCCUCAUGAAUGUCGAUGCUCGAAUGGUUAAACCAGCUGAAAGAGGAAUAAAUAUAUAUUAUAUUUUAUGAUGUUUGUAACUAUAUUGAAAAUUGAUAAUGUGUGUAUAUCUCCGUGUGUGUGUGAGUGUGUUCAAAUACAUAUAUGUACAAGAGAUAAAAAGACAAUCACCUGAGCACGUAACUGAGACGUAGAUUCUUGAAGCACAUUCUUCAUUGUUUACUGCAAAAGUUGUAUAAAUUAAAAUUAAAAAACUGGACAUAUGAUUGUAUGGUAAAAAUUUAAAGAUCAAGUUAAAAAUAUUACAAAUAUUAAUUAAAACAUGUAUUUUAAGUAUAAAAAAUCAUAUUAAAUUGAAUUCAUUAUUGUAUACCGUGAUAGUUAUGAAUAUAUGCAAAUGAAUUAAAGUUUCCUAUCACGAUCUCAAGGCAAGUCACAGCAGGGUCAAAAUUUAGUACGAUUUUUGAAAUUCAAUCUAUAAAAAUAGACCCAAAAUAUGAAUAUAGAACCAAUAAUUGAGAUAAAUAUACUCAAAACAACUUGUAUGAAUCGAAAUGUCAAGAAACUCAAUUGAAAGUAAAAUCUUUCAUAUUGAUAAGUUAAAAAUUUUAACAUAUAUAUACACACACACAUAUAGACACACACAUGUGUGUGUCUCAUUACUCGUAUAUUUGCAUGUGUAUACUAUUGUUUAAAUAUUCAACUUAAAAGAUGCUUACCAUUAAAGAUCGAGAUCCCCAAAAUUAUGCCGGAGACAAUCAGGAUAUAUUGACAAAUCGAUAAAAGAUAGUAGAACUGACACUCUGAUUUUAUUUGAGAUCGUACUAAUAUUUUCAGAUUUGAUAAGGUCAUGCUGGUUUCAAUUGAAAAUUUUGGGUUCAAAAUUCUUGCUGAAUUUGAUGCUCAUAAAAUUACUUUGAUUAGGAUGACUUCAAAAAGAGAGAAACAGGAAGGAUGUGAGAAAAAUUAAGAAAAUAUUGGGACGAUAUGUGAGUAGCAGGGGAGAAAAGAGGAUAUGCGAUAUGUAUAUAAAAAGGAGAAGAAAGGUUUUAUAGGGGAGACCGAAAUGGUGUGGAAAUGACGAGAAGUUUCUAGAGAAGUCGAGAAGAUAUCAGAAUAAAAUAAUAAUAUAAACAUAUAUAAAUAAUGAUAAAAAAAUCAUUUUUUAACUUGAAAUUUAGAAGCUAAUGAUUUUUGUAAUAAUAAAUGAUCAUUUCUAUACUAGCUCGUCUAUUAUAUAUCUAAUACAACAAUCUUGAGUAAAUUAAUUCAAUAUGACUAAUAUACCCUUUGCUUAUUACACAUAUUUUAAUAUAUAUAAAGGUUAUUAUUGACUUUUAACACUAACGUAUUUAUUAUACAUUAAUGUCUAAGCGAUGUAUUUAUUAUACAUUAAUGUCUAAGUAUUAAUAUAUAUUAAUUAUAACAUGAACGAAUUAUUUUAGUAUUAUACAUAUAAAUAACAUAUAUCAUUUUUAAAAUUUUAAAUUUUCCACACAAAUUUUGUAAAUUUUAAUAUUCUACCUGAUUUUUGACUGAUUAAUCUAAUUUUGACUAAUUAAUCAUCGAUUUAAUCGAUUUCACCAAAUCAUAUUAAAAAUUCGUCUGGUCAUCGAUUAUUCGGUUAAUCGGUCGAUUUUUAGAAUAUUUAAUUAUUGUGAUUUAAUAAAAUUAUAUAUAUGAUUUUUUAACUGUACGACAAAGACUCUGAUUCGACAAGAAUCUUAUUUGGUUUUUUUCAAAUUUUCAAUAAUUUUAGGUGAAUGAUAAUUUAAUUAUAUAAUAAAAUUUUAAAUAGUGUAUAUUUUUUAUGUUUAUAUUUUAAUAAAUAUCAUCAUAGUGAGGAUAUAUGUACAUUUAGACAUCAAGAUAAUAUGACUUAAAAUACAAGUACAUAUAAAAUUUAAAUUAUUUUUAUAAUAUAAAUAAUCUCAAUUUUUUUUUUAAAUGAAUAAAAAAUAUAAUAAUAUAUCAAAAAAAUAAUUUAAAGCAACCCGUGCUUUGCACGGGUUAAGAACCUAGUUUUUAUAUACUAGCUAAUCAAUUGUGCAAUAUACAAAUUCAGAUAAUUUUCAUAUAAAUAUAUUUGUAUCGUAUUACAAUCGUGUUUGUAGUCUAAUAUAAUAUUAUAUGAAAAUUGGCAUAUCAAAAAUAAAAAUAUAGAUAAUCAUAUAAAAUUUUUACACUCCAAUCAUGAUCUUUCCCCUUUUAUAAUUUUAGUCAAAAUCCCAUGAUAUACUCUAUUUGCGAGACUGCUAUAGACCAUAAAAUCAUAGAUCUGUAGCCAAUGUCACGUCAUAAGUUACAAUAUUAAAACAAUACAUUUAUUUAUAACAAUUUGAAAUAAUAACAAUAUAUUAUAUUUAAAAUAUGACCAAUCAUAGCGAGUACAAUUGAAAUAAAAUAUAUUAUAAAUUAUAAAUUUAAUAAUUUUAACAUAAUACAUGAAUAUUCCAAUUUUGCCGGCCAACAGAGAGGCUCUAAUAGAAUUAAGGUUAAAUAGCUAAUUCAAACUUGCAACUGGGUCAUAUUAUUCAAAAAAAACUUUCAAACAUAUCACUAAGUAAUUAAAAUUUUUUUAAAGUAUCACUCUCCGUCAGUUCUAUUAAGUAAUUAACGAAAAUUUGGAAAAAGGAAUAAAGAAAAUAUAAGAAAAUCAAUAAUUUUAAAAAAAAUCGAAAAAAUCUUGAAAAAUUGAAAAAUUUCAACAAAAUCUGAUAUUUUUAUAAUUUUUUAAAAAAUGUGAAUAAAAUCAAAAAUGGAAAACAAAACGUGGCAAGCUUCUUCUUUUUUGUUCUUUUCAAAUAUUCUGAAAUCCGAAAAAAAAAUGCCACCUAAUUUUUUCCAAAUUGUUUUCAAAUCUCAAAUCUCAGUUUAUAUAACUUCUACUUACGAAGUACUCCCUCCAUCCCAAAUUAGAUGUGCUGGUUGAUUUUAGACACGCACUUUAAAGUUCAUUGAUCGCAUAACUACAUUAUAUAUUUUUAAAAUUUUAUUUUUGUAAAUAAAAAUUUAAAUCUGAAAUUUUCAUUUACAAAAGAAAAAUUUUAAAAAUAAAUUUCGAAAAUCAAUGCAUUUUAAGUUACAUGCCCAAAAUCAAAUAUAUCUAAUUUGGGGAUGGAGGGGUAUUAUCUUGAUCCAGUGCGGGCUUUAUGUGGGCCAUAAGAACCGUUCUGCGGAUUUAGCAGUUCUUACUUCAAAUUUAGCAUGACGAAGACGAUUGUAUAAUUUGCACAAUACACUUUCUUCUGCAACUUUUGCUUCGGUUAAUUAGGUAACCUUUGUCAUUUAGGUUCAUCUCAAUUUUUUUGUCAAGUAAAUAUAAAAUCUUGAGUAAAUUAUUACCCGAGUUAAUCUCAAUUUCCAUUUCUGUUUUAAUGAUUUUUUCUUUUUGGGUUUUAAAUUGAUUGAAGGUAUGGGUAGGCUUUUUGUUGAAUCUCUUGAAGGGAACAUCUAUUCUUGCAAGCAUUGCAAAACCCAUUUGGCUAUUCUUGAAGAUAUUGUCUCUAAGGUUCUCUCUCCCUCCCCCUUCCCCUCUCUCUGUAUAUAUUUGUGUAUAAUCACACAGGAAAGGUGAAUUUUUUGUAGUAAUGAUCACUCUUUGUUAAAGUAGCUGAUGAGUUCCUUAUCGGUUUAAAUGCUUGUUGGGGUCUGGAAGUAAUAUUAGAUUAUAUAUUUGCUCUUCCGGAUCUUGAUGGUUGAUUAAUUGUUUUGUGCUUUUAUGAUCAGUCCUUGUAUCUGGCAGGAGGAGUCGUAUAAUAUGUUUAUAGCAUGUUUGUGGAAUCCUGAACUUCGAUUGGGGAUAUGAAUAUUUUUUUUAUUAACAAACUUGAUUGGUUAGUAGUUUAUUGAGUGUUGCAUGAAUAAGAACAGCUAAAUAUGUAUAUACAUCAGAAUGAAUCAUAACUAUUGCGAAUGUAAUACAAGAUAAGUUUCUUUUAUGACAUGUUUGUUGGAAUGUUCAUUUGGUCAAUCAUAUCACUUAGUGCACUACUAUUAUAUUCUGUAACAAGGUAGGUGUGAGUUUUAGAUAUGAUCAGGGUUUUUAGUAUUUUCAAUAAAUUAUGUCAGGUUUUUUAUAUUUAAAACACUGACCUACAGAAAUUGAUCUCUUAUAUGACUAUGCCAAGUAUAAAUUUCAAGCAGUAAAUAUGUUUUUCAUGUUCCAAAUGGUGAUGGGUAGCCAAAGUGAACAUAAAGGAGUAUUUUGGUCCGUGUUAUUAGUUAGUUUGAAUUAUCUGGUGUAGGGAUAACUAGUGUAUUUAUCUAUACUUAUUUUAUGUGGAGCUGGCAGUAUAUUAUAUGUGUUGGUUAGUUAUGUCAGUGCAUUAGGCUAUGUUUUUACAGUUUUAUUUCCUAUAUUACCUUAGAAUUGAUUAAUGAGAUAUGUCAGUGUGUUAGGCUAUGUUCUUUUUGUUAAUGGGUUCCAAUCCAUCAUAAUAUUAUUUCACCAAUGGUUAAGAAAAAAAAUAUUCGGGUGGUGGAAUUACUACAGUUAAUGCACCCAAGUUUUCCUUUUUAUCAUUUUUAUUCAAUCAGUCAAUGUUCCUGCCUAAUUGCGUCUCUCUCACUUGAUCCCAAACUCUGUAUAACCUUUCUCACUUUCUGUUGGCUUCCCUCCCUCAUUUAGAUGAUGCAUAGAGUUAUCUGUAUUGAAGAACUAAAUCAUUGCCAUAGGCAGCUGAAAUAGUACAUUCAUUUUAACAUAACUGUUGGAGUUACUUUUUUAACUCCAAUUGAUGAAGAGAAAAAAGAGAUGAGGUUUUGAGGACUCCAAGAUGCAGGAAUUUGUUUUCAAGUGUUGUAGUUAUUGACUUAGUUAUAGUGAGUAGUGACUUAUUUCUAUAAUGUUUGAGAAUGUGAGUUUAUGAUAUACUUUGAAAUUGCUAUCUAUUUGAACCAACAACAAACUUGUUUCAGUAAGUUAAUAUAUGUUAGACUUGUUUCCACUAUUUGUGUAUUUUUGCAUAAGUGCAUAUUUAAAUGUCCGGGAAAGUUCCGGUUCAGAUUCGAUCAUUGUGUUCAUUGUCCGGGAAAGUCAAGGAAGAUCUCAGUAAAAAACAAUAUAAAUAGGCUGGUACAUUUAAUUCACCCUUUGUAAAUCAGAAAAAAAUAGCAUUUAUUCUGUCGAGACAAAUUUGUGCAAAUUUAAGGCAUGCAUUUUUUAGUUUUCCGGUCUCCCUGUAUGACAAAUCCUUGGAUUUCACCUUUAAGUAUACAAUUGCAAUAUCCAUACAGACUGUAUAUUUUGUAACUUUAGACUGCUGCAUGCGGAAAACAUAUUGGAUUCCUUUAUAUCAGUACAUCAUUUUCUUAUAACUUCUUUACAUUGGAUAAUAUAAAUGUUUUCUGUAGAGGCAGCAGAAAAGUCUGACAAUAUUAUAUUCCUUCCAUCCCACUCAUUUCUUUAUAUGUUUUUUUUACUGCUCGACACGCAUUUUAAGGCUCCAAUUAAAUAUAGUUCCAUAACUUAUUUUUGAAAUUUUCUUUUUAUGAAUAAAAAUUUAAACAUUAUACUUUUAUUCAGAAAGAAAAAAAUUAAAAUAAUUUAUAGAACUCUACUUAAUCAGAGCCUUAAAAUGUGUGCCGAGUCCGUGUCUCCCAAUUUAAAGAACCUGGUGGGACGGAGGGAGUAUUGUUUACAUCGUUCCGGGAGUAGUUGCAACAGAACGUUUAUGGACAUACUAAAAUAUCUCAUAUAACAUUAUGUCUCUGUUCAUGCUUUUAAGUACUUUAUAUGAAUUGAUGACCCCAUUCCUGACCUGUUAUUUGCUCAUGCUUUCAGGCUUUCCAUUGUAGGCAUGGGAAAGCUUAUCUCUUCCGUGAUGUGUAAGUCUUCUUGUUUAGUUUUGUAAAUUAUUAAGAUAUAUUGCAUAUUAGAUUGGAUGUAAGAAGUAAUCCGUCUAAGCAGAAAUAUUAUAGUUCUAGAAACUAAAAUUCCCUUUCCUGUUGAUUAUCGGUCAUCUGCUGCAUCAAUUUGGCUGCUGGCUAAUCUUUGGCUAGGCAGAACAAAUUCUAACUUGUCAGUUUGAUAAAGAAUUAAGGAGCUCUGUAUGCAUAAAUGGAAUUAACUUUCACUUCUCAAUUGAUCUUUUGAUAAGAAAGUCUUUCUUAUGAAAUGUAGAAUAUAUGAAAUUCUUAAAUCACAGAAGGAUUAACACGACUAAGCAGGCUAGGUGCCUGUGUGGAACAAACAAGAGUCGUGUCUAAACAAAUUUAAAAGUUACAGUGUACUUUUUGGCUUCAUUGUACACAGUCCAAUUUGCCUGCUAAUUGUGUUUUUCUUACCUACGUGCAAAUGCUAUUCUUCAUAGUGUGAAUGUUACCUUGGGAGAGAAAGAGGAGAGGAUGAUGAUAACUGGAAUGCAUAUAGUGGCUGACAUAUUCUGUGUGCGCUGUGGAUCAAUUGUUGGGUGGAAAUAUGUAAGCUAAGCUAAUAUUUAUCAGCUCAAUAACUUGAUUUCAUAUUUUUAAGUAAAUUUCAUUUUAUUGAUGGAGUUGGAUGAUGUUUUUUCAGGAGUCUGCAUAUGAAAAGAGCCAAAAAUACAAGGAAGGGAAAUUCAUUCUCGAGAGGUAUUUCAGAUUAUAUUCUAUCGUGUGCAACUCAAUGGAGCACUAAUCCCUGAAUCUUAUUUUUGAGCAGGUUCAAGGUACUGGGUCCUGAUGGGAGCACCUACCAGGGAAUUCCAGAAGCUCAACUUGCAGAAAGUGAUGCUGAUGAAGAAUAAGAGUGGUUUACCCUCUCUUGUUUAGGCUAAAUAAAGUAGUAUAUAUAGGAUUACCCACAAAUAACUGUACAUCCUCUAGAUCUUAUCACUUAGCGGCCAUGGUAUUCAUUUGCUAGUUACAGUCGUGCUUAGAGUCGUUGCAGACCAGUUUUGCAGGAAAACUUAGAAUGGUCCUGUCAUUUUGACAGUUUCGUUUUACAUAUUAGGCUAUUGAUUACAUUAAGCAAAGGCAGUCUAUAUGUCCUACAUAAUUUCCUAUUAAUCAACCAUAUUUAGUAAAUGCACUAAUUAUGUCGGAAUACAAAGAUUAUUAUGAUGAUUUUUGUUGUUGUGAGCCUUCACCCAGUGAUAGUAAUCCUUUUAGAAAUCAGUCUGCCAUUUGACUUUUGUUGUCCUCUAUUCUACUAUACACAGUGAGCUUAUUGUUGUGCUCUAUUCCAUUCUGCCCAUUUGAUGAAAGAGCGAAGCUUGAUUUACUGAGGUUCUCGCUCAAAUUUUAAAGUUGCAAGGGUUUUAGGUACUCCUCUUCCAUCUUUGAAGUGUUUGAGUGGCGCGUAGAGGUGAUAUGUUACUAACUUUACUCUCGAUUCAGCCUUGUUAAACAUCCAGUAAAAGCAAAUCGGAAUGUAAGAUAAAAACAUAUUUAUAUAGAUUACAGAGCAUGCUGUGACUUGCCCAGAUAAACUUCCCGGAGAAAUUUAAAGAAUCGGAAUGUAAAUAACAGAACAGAACUCUCAUAUUUGUAUUUACAUUUACCAGUGUCCCAGAACACCAGCUGUUCUCUGUUUAUGGCACAUGGAUUUCCCCGGUUGUUAUUAUCUGUCGAUCUUACUCAAAGAGGAAGUUAGCAAAGAGUUUUUGCAGACUGCUUAGACCCCAUCGAUCAUUGUUUUCCAAGACGAGAUCAUAUGACUUGGAAUUCCGCUCACCUUCAUCUUCAGCAAAUCGCGGAUUUUCAACCUCAACAUGUUGGUGCUGCUCUUGGUAGUCAAUAUCUAUAACUUGCUCGGAUUUUAACUGCAAUUAGUUCUGUUCUCUUAGUAGCAGUAUAGUGUAAAGAUCAAAAGAUAACUGGUGUUUGCGGAUUUUGUUUUUCUCUUUGUUGGCAAAUCAUAUGAGUAAUCUGUUUCUUCUGAAGAUAAUCCUGUGUUUUAUAGUUGUUUUUUCCAGGUACAUUGUUUAUGAAACAGAAUGAAUUGCAAAUUGUGGCUUUCUAUCAAAGUCUUGGUGCUCCUGUUCUAUAGGUAGGUUGAAUCUGUGCUUGGAUGAACUGAUAUCAUCUGUAAUUCUAGUUGUUACAUGUGAAUUUCAUAUCGGAAAUUGAACAUAUUCUAAAGCGGAUCGCAUACAUGCAUACUAUGCUAUAUGAACUGUUAACUUGCAAACAAUGUACUGCGGUUCACAGUUCACCGAUACAUUGUAGUUGAAAGAAAUAUAAGAAAAGGCUGUAUCUUUUUUGCUAUGUCAAUUUAACAGGUAAUUUAUUUUUGCGAAAAGAUACAGUGAAAAUGUGAUUCGCUUUUAGCAAGGAGAUAUCUCUUCUGCCGGUUGUAGAGCCGAAUCAAUUUUGUAACAAAAUUAAGCACAGAAACACAAUUACAGAAAUGCUGCGCGGGUUAAGCAUUUACCUCUGGUAUAUUAAGCUCCUUAAUAUUUUCAGCUUCCAUUGUUGCAUCAGCAAAGAUUUUGUUAUCAACUUCAUUCAUGAGUUUCUCUUCAGGUAGAGUUGUCGGCAGUGGUUCCAGGCCUGGUACCAGAAGAGGCAGUCCUUUCGCUGAUAACGACUCAUCUGUAGUGAGUUUUGAAUCUUCAACAUUCAUCUUGCCGCCAUUAGGUCCGAGCAUAAGCCUACUUAUAUCUUCGUCUGAAAGAGCAACAGGACUUUCCUUUACAUCGGUAACCAGUCCUCUACCAGGUAUUGUGUUACUUUCAUCAAUGUGAACUUCUUUGUUUGGCUCAGUAAUUUCUUCUGCAUUAAUGAUAGACUCUUCAAUUUGUUUAAAGGUCGAUUCCUCGUCUGAGAUCUUCUGACAAUCAGCACUAUCCCAAUCUUCACAAAUAGUAAGCGUUUUCUCUGUCUCCCAUGUCUGAAGAAUUCGGUCUGGUCCAGGUUGCCAUAUGAUAUUUUCAGGGCCUUCUUUCAGUAUGAUCUUGAACCUGAUACAUUUUUCUAUGGGAACAUCCUGUUUAAAACAGAGAAAGCAUCAUACAAAGUAAGAUUACACGUUUAAUAAGUUCAUACUUCUGUGUAAAUAUUAUUUUUAGUGCUGUACAUUCUUACCAGCUCUGUCGUUGUCCACACGUGUCCAUCUGACCAGUUGAAUGGUACGGCGCCUGACGGAUCCCAUUGUCCGAGGACCGGAUCGUCUCCGACAAUGUGGAACUGCUGGCCAAAUGCACAUUCUCUUUGCAGCUGGAAUCUGACACGAACAGUUUUCGACUGAUCUGUUGGAUUAUGACAUUAUUAUAUUGUUUCCAUGUUAAUGACAUAAAACAUUGUUUAAAAUAACUACAUUAGUACUAUAUAAAACUUACUUGUCAUAUCAGAAGCCUUUGUUUCUUCUUCAUCCUGGAGGUCUAACUUCAUCUGCAAACAAGAUCUCAAAGAAUCAAAAAUCGAUCUCUAUAAGCUCAUAGCAUUUCUUCGUUUAAUCAUUAACUUUGCAUUGCUUAAAAUUAUAUAAUACAUGUAAGAGAUAUUGCUAAAUGUAGUAUGCAAAGAAACUACAAAGAUAAUAUAGCUUAGUAAGGAAGGGAGAGGGAAAGAGAGAGAGGGAGGGAGGGAGAGAGAGAGAGAGAGAGAGAGACCUGUGUGUCUGAGGAUGACAUAGAGAUAGGUCUUCUCUGGUAGAGAGGCUUAGAUACUGAGAAACUAAGACUACCAACAUAUUUAGGAAGAAAAGAGGAUGGCCUCAAGGGAAGUGGUUCUUUUCUUUUGUUGAAAAGCCCUUCAUCUGCACAAAACUUUUCUGAAAACAACUUGAGUGAUGGUGAUAAAGAAGCUGAGCCCCUCAAAGCUUCCAUCUUUUUUUACUUGUAUUUUCUCAAAAAAUUUCACACACUGAACACACAGGGAGAGUGUGAAUAAGAACAGAGAAGAGAGUGAGCAGAGGAGGAUUAUAUGAAAUGGGUAUUUUGUAAUGUAGUGAUGGUAUAUCUGAAGUUUGUGGCCUGGGGAGUGUAUAUAAAGAGAAAUGGACUGGGGAGCAUGUGGGUAAAUCGUAAAUAUAUGUUUGAGUGUGUGUAGUAGACUAUAAAGUAGCGGAUCAAGAAGCAGGUGUCAUUUGACUCGCUUUGUUUUAUGUUGCUUCUAACGGAACCUCUUUUCGGAUCCGGUCAUUCGGACCCUCGAAAGUAGGGUACUAAAUUACUAAUUUUGUGAGAUGGCACAAAAUACUAUAGACCCGAGUUGUUCCAUUAUAUAAAGGCGUGAAGACUGAAUUUAGGAAAAUGAUUCGUUUAUGAGAUACGAAACCUUUAACAAAAUAAUAUUUGUUAAUUUUGAUUAGAAUGUGUUUUCAUGUAUUCAUAUGAAUAGUAUUAAUUAAAAAAUUUAUUUCAUCUAUCAUUUUAUUUUGUUUAAAAUUUGUACCCAAUUUUAUACAUACACGCUAUCCUUGAAUUUAUGCAGCUGACAUAAUUUCAGGCUAUGAGGUCAUUUGGACAAAUUUAAAAAGAUGGAUUUUUGUUUAAAAUAAAAAAAUGGAUUAGAAGUGAAAAUUAAAUAAAUUAAUAAAAUGUUUGAAAAAGAAGUAGAAUUUCUGAAAGGAAUGUUUCUACUUAUUUAUUUAUAUCAUUAUAUGUAAAAAAAGCAAAAAUUAGAAACAGUUUUUGCUCGUGCGCUAUAUCUUAAGUUUUGCUUCAUCCAAUCAGAUCCGAAUCAAUUUUAUUCAGACAGAUAAAUGCUUAAAUGUGUUAAAUUAAUUGCGAUGACUUUCUAAUUAAGCAUGGAAUAUACGAGUUGGGUAAAGUAAUAAAAUGUUGAUAACAUUUAAGCCUUUCACAUGACACAUCGGGUGUUUCAAGUGACAAGUCCGCACCGUCACGGCAUCUAAAAACAACUUGAAAUCCAAUUCUUUGUCGGUCCAAUAGGCCCUCAGAAUCUUCAAAGUUGAUGGGCCAUUCGGUUAAGAUGAUGAUUGUGGCCUGUCACAAGUAUAUGGACCUUCGGCCUAGAUUUUAUACAUCACAUGGGCCUGUUGUAUGCAGAUCAGACACCUUCACAUUGUUUAACAUAUGACGACCGACUCGAAUACAGUCCCGAUUUCACUGCUGGACAGUACCCGCUCCGAUUUCUAUCAUGUAUUCCUAUUUUUAUUUCUUUCAUUUCUUAUACAUUUUUAUUUAUUUGAUUCUAUUAUUUACAUUUUGAAACAAAUUCUUAUUUUGAUUUCUUUUAGAAUUAUUUUUUUAAUCUUAUAUUUCUAUUUUAUUUAAAUACUAGAAUAUUGAAUAGUUUCUCGGAUAAGAAUUUAUUUAUUUCUGUUUUCUUUUAAUAUUAUAUUACUUUUAUUUAAUAUCACUAACAAAAAUAUUCAAAUAUGUUAAUCAUAUUACCUACCACGUGUAAACAAAUUACGAAUAAUAUGAAUCAGUAGGAGCUGCCCUCAUUAGGAAAUUAAUACUAAUAUUUGUAUAAAAUCUUCUGCAAUAUAUCUAUCGCUUCAAAAAGAUAAUGAGACACAAAAAAAAAAGAUCUUUUUAGAUAAUCACAAAAUAAGUGUGAAUUCAGAUAAUACAAACAAUCUAAUUCUUUCGAAGCAAUAUGCAUUAAUAGGAACAAGCAAGAGUGCACAUCUCAAUUUAACUAUAAUCUUACAGAGGCAUCAGGCAUUAAGCAAGUAAUAAUGUAGCAAUAUUUUCCAUCAAUAUACCGUCACGUAAUAUUUCACAGCAAUUUUUGCAAUUUAUAAUUUCUUUAAAAUAUUAUACGGCCAAGUGCAACCUUGCUGAAAUCCUUGCUUGCUUGUUGCCUCAUUUUUCUCUCCAUAUAUCUUCAACGUCCACCGAAACAAACUAACUGUAUUCAAAGUCUCUUCAGUUGAGAUAGCCUUAUCUACAGGAUUAUAUAUUAAGGAAAAUAUCUCUUCACAUAAAAUUAAAAUAAAAUAGAAAUAUUAUUUUCAUUAUAAUAGUGUGUGUUUAAUUGGGUAGGGUGGUACAUUAAUAAAUUUAUCCAAAUACAGAAUCUAUGGAAUUCAAUAGAGAUAAUCAUUAGUAGCUGAGGAGCCGAAAAUUAGAAGAAUAGACCUCUAACAAACAAGUUGCUAACGAGAAGAUUCAUUUGAGCUGAUCAAAACAAUAAACUCUGUUUCUACACACCAACCAAAAUUAUAUAAUUUUGGAAACAUGCAGUUGUAUAUUAGUAGUAAACUCCGCCAAAUAAAUCCUUGGUUUUUGUCUUUAGUUCUGUCAAAUUUUAUCAACUAUGCUGCACAUUCAUUAUCAAUCCGUUCCCUCUCUUGACAUCCCAAAAACAAAGUCUACUAUGCAUAAGCACGAUCAUAUGUUCGAUUUUCGCCUUCUGCGACGCCUUGAUCGUGCAAAGCUGAGGAUUUUCUCAGCUCUGUCGUGUCUGGCGUUCUGUUUUCUUGUUGUUUUUGGAGAUGUUUAUGUUGAUCAAGUGAAGUUGCAUGGUUCAAAGGGUUCUAGGAAAGUGCUGGAGUCAGUUUCGAUGAGUGACUCUUUUACGAUGAGUGUCCCGAAAAGAGUGUCACCAAAAGAAGAUGUUGAUGAGGGUGAAAAGAGGAGCCAUGAUUUUAUUAGUUUGGUACCUCCUGUGAAUGUUUCUGCAGAAGAAAGAAUUGCUUGGUUUAAGGGAAAAUUACCUGUUUUUGAGAUAUUUCAGUCGAAUGCAAAGUCACUGAGGUUCGAAAAACGGGCUAAUGAAUUCUUUCAUGGUGCAAAUGGUCAUUGUGGAACUAGGUUUUUUAUGACAUGGAUAUCUUCAGCAAGAUCAUUUGGAGAAAGGGAGGUUUUGGCGAUAGAGGCACUUUUUAAGUCCAAUCCGAAUGGAUGCUUGAUGAUAUUGUCGUCGACGUUGGAUUCUGUCCAGGGUUUAAGGAUUCUAAGGCCUAUACUAGAACAUGGUUUUAAGGUUGUUGCAGUAACACCUAACUUGCCUUUUCUGUUCAAGAACACGCCAGCUAAGACGUGGUUUGAUAAAAUCAAGAGUGGAAAGAAGGAUCCGGGGGAGAUACCCUUGGCGCAGAAUCUUUCAAAUUUGAUCAGAUUAGCACUUGUGUACAAGUAUGGUGGGGUUUACUUGGAUACAGAUUUCAUUGUUUUGAAAGAUUUUUCAGGUUUGAGAAAUUCGAUUGGAGCACAAAGUUGUAAUUCAUAUGGGAAGUGGACAAGGUUGAAUAAUGCAGUACUGGUAUUCGACAAGAAACAUCCCCUUGUGUACAAGUUCAUAGAAGAAUUUGCAUUAACGUUUAACGGAAACAUAUGGGGACACAAUGGACCUUACCUUGUUUCCAGAGUGGCUUCAAGAUUUGCAACAAGAAAAGGUUAUAACUUUACAGUCUUGCCUCCUAUGGCUUUCUAUCCGGUUUAUUGGAGUCGGAUUAAAGGGUUCUUUGUGAAACCACAUAAUCGGGCUAGAUCAAAAUGGGUUGAAGCUAAGUUGGUUCAGCUAAAAGGGGAGACUUAUGGGGUGCACUUGUGGAACAGGCAAAGUAGUGGAUUAAGAAUUGAACAAGGAAGCAUCAUGGAGAGACUUAUUUCAGAGCAUUGUAUACUCUGCCAACACAUAUAUAGUUCUUGACGGAAUGCACCAUCUACAACACGCUUUGCUUUAGUAAGCUCUGAUUAUUAAGAUUCUUUAUUACUUGUUAAGCAAGAUGUUCCUAUUACACUAGUAGUUUACAAUUGAUACUCACUUCUGAAAGCAAAACUGAAUCAAAACAUAUCCUGUAUAUCCCGCUUGUAGACUUAAAAUACAAACUUUAGCUGGAUUCGUAGGAGUAGAAACCUUAGUUUCCAAUCAAUAAUCACUUCUCUCUGAGUGUAUUUCUGUUUUGUGUCUUGUUGAGUGUCAAAAAAUAUGUUUAUCUCAAUAAAUUCUACCACAUAUCAUGAUACGUAUACGUCUCAGCCUAAACCUAAAUCUAAAACCUCUACACGUCCAUUUAAUAAACCUUGGCAAUCUUCUAAAACUCUUUGUUCUGUUUAACUUGCGCCUGCGCCAUUUGGAUCUGCUCUUCUGGUAGGCGAAGUCUUUAUCAAUGAAGCUGCCUUCUGAAGCUGAUCCAUAAGGACUAUCAAAAGCAUUUACAGUUUCAGCUUUCUUAAAUGUCCUCCAAGGAUCAUCACAGAUUCCAUCAUCUGUAUCACUUCCCCACAAAAGAAGAGGCUUAAUUAUAGGGGAACCACUGUAUUCCUUCAUAUGAGUUGCCAAACUAGUAUGCUCCAUUUCAAAUAAUCGUCGUAGAGAUGUAUUUCCUCCCUUCAUCAACCCUAACAAACUAUGACUAGUGCGUGAAGAGACAGAUGAAGAAGCUGUUGAAGAGUAAGAUACUGAUGCAGACGACGAAAAGUAGAGAGAUUUCUGGUGCUCUAUGAUCUGUCUUAUCCUGUUUCUGUGAGCUUCUGUCUUGAUAAUAAAGCAAUCAUCCUCAUCUUCCUCUUGUGUAAUUUCUGAUGCCAUUGUGUUGGAAACAAUGUUCUUAGGGUCACUGAUGAAAGGAAUCUAGAAAGACAUGAGGAGGCUAUUUGGCUAAAACUCUAUCCAAGUAAAUCCAAAGCCGGCUCCAAUUUUAUUCUUUACAAAACAAAAGGACAAGUUGAACUAUACUAGUAUUAGACUACACAUAAGUGUGCCAGUGACUGAAAUUUGGAUUGCGUCUAGGUAGUGACCAGUGGUGGAGCCAGGCAGCCAGCAUAGUAGUUAAGAGGUCCAAUUGCACUUGAAGGUUUUUACACAAAAAAGUUGAGUUUCUUAGCUCACAGUCCAGAAGAGACCCUCAUGUUUUUCAAGGUCUAGGCAUCAGCCUUAACAUGCGUGCGUGAGUAUUUUGAAGGAAGGUAGACGGAUCUAGUAAGAGGCGUGCGGGGACAUUGAAACCCACUCAAGUCACAUCGAAUGAUGAAUUGCUCUAUGUGUUGAUCAAUUUGAAGUGAAGGGGUUGGAUAUCCGAAGCAAUGUGUCCCAUUCGGGGAUCAAGAAGCUCGUAAAUUUUCAAAGAGUCGAGAUGAUAGCAUGCAUGAUCUGCCAAUGCCGGAUCACUCUAAAUCAUUGUGAAUUCUAAAUAAUUAAUAUCUGGAACUAAAUAUCUACGAUGACUUGUGGAACGUAACGCAUAGGCAUAUGUUUUUAUGGCUUUAUUUAGUCGGGCAUUCAUAUCCGAGUUUGUUUGUUUGUAUGGUUGGAUGAUUUUCCACCUCCCAGUAGUUUUCUCGAAUUUAUUGCUCCAGCUAAGACUGAUUUUAUUGAACAGAAUAGAAUCGAGUUUUUGGGUUUUUUUCCGGCUCAUCUGCAGGCAGAGUUGCAGACUAAAGUUUAAAAAGGAUUCUCAGAAGGCCCAUCACUUGUAGCAGUAUUGAAGCCUGUUUACAAUCCGCCAAUCUGGAGUGAUGCAUUCUGAGCUGGGCCUUUCUGGCCCCAGCUUUAGACUGGAUUCCUUAACUAAAUGUCUGAGUUAAAAAGAUCCGCUCAAAGGUUUGAAAGAUAAUUCGGAUACAUCAUACAUCAUAUUCAUAUAUGUAAAUUCGGAUUUAAAAUUUUGAAUAUGUAUCCAAAUUCAAAUCUCACCAAUAAUAUCCGGAUCCUUUUUAAUUUAAUAAAAAAUAACUCAAUAAUUUAUUUUACUUAUAAAACAAGAAUUAAUAUAUGAAAUAUUAAUGAUUUAUACCAGCCCACACUCAAAUAUAUCUUGAAAAUAUAGUUUAAAUAAUAAAUGAAAACACAUAUUAUUAAUUAUAAUUAUUAUAUAUUUAUUUAUCAUGAGCAGAUACAAAUAUGCCUUUAUCUAUAUUCGAAAUUGCCUCAUAAACAUGUGAAUAAUACUUGUUAUAUCGUUCGCACGACUGUCAUUCACUAGAAACAAAUAAACUUAGAAAUAGCCUUCACCCCAUGAACAGUGAUCAUUAAUAUUAUGCUCGAAUAGGAGAAUAAAUCUUUUGAAAAAAUAAUUAUUAUUAUUAUUUUGUAUAAAUCGAUCAUUUAUACAUUUUAACCUGAUAAUUCAGAUAGAAUAACAUUAGUUGCAAUACAAGAUAACGUGCAUUUGAACUUGACUAUAUUUAAACGCAACAUGCAUAACAUUAUAGACUUCAUACCUGGCGGGUGAAGAAACGAGAAUAGAUAUUCAUAUUUCAAUUUUCAUGUUGAUGAACACACUUGGCCAUGUGAGGAGCUUUGAAGGAGAUAUGGGGAAUAUAUAGGGGAGAAAAUAGUGGCACAUGACUUUGAGCUUAAUGAACGUGUAACCCAUGUGAUCGGGUCGGGUCCACGCGCCUUGCUCUCCCACCUCCUCCAUUACAUCUACACCAGUUCGAAGUGUGAUUGAUGAAGAAUCUAUGCUCCAUUAAUUUUAGAUCCAAGCUAUGUAUUUUUUACUUUAAUCCCAAUCACACUAUUCCCGUUUCAAAUAUCUAUCAUUGACUUCCAGUCCACUCCAUUCUUCGCUCUAAUUUAUUUUAUGCUUAUAAAUAUAGUUAUAUAUUAAAAAUAAUCAUAUUGAAUGCUUGAUUUCGUCUGAGUGUUUGAAUUUGUGCACCACUUAACUCACUACUGCAUCAAUCGUUUUAGAUGUUUUGGAUAGGAAAAUUUGACACGCAUUUUAGGAUUUAGGAUUUAUACGUAUUUUAGGAUUUAUAUGUAAUUUUUAUAAAUUAUUUAAUUAGUUUUUCUUUCUGAAAAAAUUUUAGUGUUCUAAUUUUAUUAAAAAUUUAAAAAUAAAAUAUGAAAUUAUAUUUCUUGUAAUUUUAAAAUUUGUGAAAUAAUAACAAAAAACCGUUAACAAAUGAAAAAUGAAAGUUAUAGAAAGAGUACCACCGAGGGCUCUACGUAGUGUAUGAUAUUAUCAGCGUUCAGUUUCCCUCUAAAAUUUAUAACUUAUACCGCUUUACAACUUAUUUGGUAAACUUUUAAUUUUUAUAUAUAUGACAAUUUAAUUUUAAAACAAUUGAAUCAGGUUUGCUAUGCUUCAUUAAUUAGAAAAGAAAGCAUUAAUUUCAACAAAAAGUGUGAAAUAAUUAUCGCAAAAAAUGGAAUCGAGUAGAUAAAAAUACAUAAUAUGGAAAAGCUAAACAUACAGUCCAUUGAAUUUAAUCGUAGUGAUUUAGCUCAUGCUUUUGUAACAAAGGAAUCAUUACAACUCAACCACACUAUUUCUUUACCUAAUAUCAUAAAUGUAAAUAAAUUAAAAAAGAAAAAAGAAGUCAAAUAGACUAAAAGAUGGAUGAAAUCCAGCACACAUGUAGGGAANNNNNNNNNNNNNNNNNNNNNNNNNNNNNNNNNNNNNNNNNNNNNNNNNNNNNNNNNNNNNNNNNNNNNNNNNNNNNNNNNNNNNNNNNNNNNNNNNNNNNNNNNNNNNNNNNNNNNNNNNNNNNNNNNNNNNNNNNNNNNNNNNNNNNNNNNNNNNNNNNNNNNNNNNNNNNNNNNNNNNNNNNNNNNNNNNNNNNNNNNNNNNNNNNNNNNNNNNNNNNNNNNNNNNNNNNNNNNNNNNNNNNNNNNNNNNNNNNNNNNNNNNNNNNNNNNNNNNNNNNNNNNNNNNNNNNNNNNNNNNNNNNNNNNNNNNNNNNNNNNNNNNNNNNNNNNNNNNNNNNNNNNNNNNNNNNNNNNNNNNNNNNNNNNNNNNNNNNNNNNNNNNNNNNNNNNNNNNNNNNNNNNNNNNNNNNNNNNNNNNNNNNNNNNNNNNNNNNNNNNNNNNNNNNNNNNNNNNNNNNNNNNNNNNNNNNNNNNNNNNNNNNNNNNNNNNNNNNNNNNNNNNNNNNNNNNNNNNNNNNNNNNNNNNNNNNNNNNNNNNNNNNNNNNNNNNNNNNNNNNNNNNNNNNNNNNNNNNNNNNNNNNNNNNNNNNNNNNNNNNNNNNNNNNNNNNNNNNNNNNNNNNNGGCUAUGAGAUGGAUGAAUUCCACCACACAUGUAGGGAAAGCAUUUGAUACCUCCCAUGUAUAUAUUACAAAAUAUGCAGAAACAUGAUGAGUUUGGUCAUACUCUGUUGAGUUGAAGUGAGUUAACUCAGUGUUUUUGUGGUGGUGGUGGAGGCUUGCAUUGAUAGCACUUUGCAAAUAGUCCAAAGGUGUCAACUUGCCUCACAAAGUUCGUCACACUUGCCCAUCCACCGAACCCAAAUCCUACUAUUAAUACCCAGAUCACGAUGAAAGUGUUGAUCACAAACAUUGCCGUCCAUCCUGGUAGGAACUUUGGAGGCUUCUCCGCCGCAUUCUGCAAUCAUGUCAAAAUACGAUUAUAUUAAGUUUAAGUUUGAAGGUUCACUCGAUAACAAGAGGUUGAUGGUUCGAACUAUGUUACAUUGUAGAGCUAGUUCAGUCUUUUUGUUGGGCAGGUGUGAGUCAACAACAUGACAGCUCAUUUGAGACAUGAUAAAUCACUCAAAUGUACCAUAUAACCAAAUGAAAACGACUUUCUACCAAUCUCCCUCUUACACGAAUAUUUUCCAAAUCUAGGCCUUUAUUGCUAUUGCAUUCUCAGUUUUAUUCCAAAAAAAUAAAAGUUUCCGCAGAUCAAAUGACAAAUCAUACAUGUGAUUUGCCUCUGUUUUCUAUGAUUUAUAAUGUUGCGAGAUAUGUGAGGACUGAGGAGUGUAGGAGAAUUUUUCUCCAUGAUACGCAUGGACUGAGUAAGGUCAAUCUAGUAACUUCAUAUUGCAGGAAAGGGAAAAGGAAGAUGUAGAGUUAAGUUACCUGUCUAGCAGAUGCUUUCCUGUAGGUGAGCAUAUGGGCUAAAGCAGGGAUGAUGUACACAGUAAAACUAACCAAGAGAGCCCCAACUGCAGAAUUAAUGGGCCCGAAAAAUGGAAAUAUAAU
rnacentral:lncRNA from 1 species